CUGCUGAAUAUAUGUUGCGUUUGGUCUGGGGUGCAGUGAGGAUAUGUAAGAGGGAAUAUUUUGCUUGCCACUGAUUCGUUAAGGACAGUCUGUUAGGAGUAGUACAGCAGCAGAGAGCGAGUGCGUCAUUCGGCUUUCAUGCAAUGCAUGUAUAUAUGCAUAUCCUUGCUCGAUCUCUUCUUCUCCCUGGUGUUAAACUGACAGGCACCGUUAAUUUAAUCUCUCAUGUACUACUACUAAGCUAGCGUGUUGUUUUAUCUAUCUCCCUCUUUGACUGAUAGUAUAGUGGUAGCAGUACAUAGCUAGCGUGUGGUGUGUUUGAUUUAACUUUUCAGUGUCCUUGACCCUGUUUUAUCUCCUGUUUGACUGCAAGUACCUACUAGCUAGCUAUAGUUUACGGCGUUAAGUUUGAUUAACUUCUCAGUGUCCUUGUCCCCUGUUUUAUCUUAUCUCCUGUUUGACUGCCUCUUUAACUAACUAGUGUCUGGUGGUCUGGUGUUUGGACAUGCGUGCCAUGCAUGUUACCACGCACGUACCAGCGAAUCAACUAGAUAGAUUAAAAAUCGUGUGUCCUGCGCUAUAGAUUAACUAUGAUGUCCCGCACGUAACAUACGUGAGUCCACAUUGUUGAGAACAUACAUGAGUGAAAAGUAGCAACAAAAAAGUAUCCAGUGAAAAUGUAUAAAUGUGUAUAAUGAAAUUGUAUAAUAGAUUAUAGAUUUUUCAUUAAUGUAUAAUGAAAUUGUAUAAUAGAUUAUAGAUUUUUCACUUAAUGAAAAUAGCUCGAUGAAAAGUAGCAUGCAUGCAUGUGCAAAAAAUAUGAGUUUUCCACUAAAUAGGUGUGAACAAAUUAAUGGUGUGAUGAUGUGGCGUGCACGAUAGAUUAUAGAUUCUUCACUUAGUGAAAAUAGUUUGAUGAAAAGUAUCAUGCGUGCAAAAAAUAUGAGUUUUUCAGUAAACAGGUGUGAACAAAUUAAUGGUGCGAUGAUGUGGCAUGUUUGCAUGUUAAGAGAAAUCAAGUAGUGGGUUUCUCCUACUUAGAUAUAAAAGAUUACUAGCUACUAUUAAUCUUAUAUUAUUACUCAAGUACCAGAGUAGUAGUAUAUGAGAUGAUGAAGGCAACGAUCUGUGUGUGAAUUAAUGUCAUUUCUCAGAAGUGUAUAUAUCUUGUGCACUGGGAACAAAUGCAGAUUAAGCAUAACCGAUCGACGACGACCCAGCAUGAAGCAAUUGAGGAAACACUCAAGUUGCAAUCAAAUUAACUGAAAAUGGUUGGAAACGGGCAAAGGCGGAAAGGGACCAAGGCUAGGCCAGCGAUCGAACCAAGGAAUGCGCCAAAUAAAGAGUACGUAGUAGAUAGAAAAAUAUGUAUUAUGUAUAGCAGCAUGGCAACGAUCCUAGCUGGCCCCAGAAAUAUAUACCGGAGAGAUUUGCUCCUCAAAGGGGUGUGUGACGCUGAGACAUACUUUGUUGGCCGUACGUGCAUGCAUGGUUGGAUCCGGCCAUAUGGGGAUAUAUUGGAUUGGGCGUGAGCAAGAAGACUGCUAAAAACAGACGCCGGGGGACCGUUUGCUAGAUCUCCUAUCUCCUCCUCACUCACCAUAUAUCGACAGCUGAUCCUGUCGAGAUAUGCAUGUGUGGAGCAAAUACCGUGCCCGUGCAGGCCAUCCGAUCAGGAAUCAAGGGCUGAGAUUGUCGUCGUCGCACGAGGAAGGAGAUACUUGUGUUUUUUGAUAUCUUCCUUUGAGGAUGGACACAAGAGUAGCCGUCAUAUUCGGCCGCGGUACAAAAAGAUAGUACAAAAAAUGCGAUAGAAAAACGAGGAUGUAAUUAACCGUGUUCGAUAUGCAACAAAGGAGGUCUUUUACUGUCAAAACAAAUAGUGGUAGACACACACCUAUAUAUAUGCUAAAUAAGUGGCCCAUUGUAGUUUUUAUAUGCUACCACUCCCGUGUUGCAAGAGAACAUGUUCUCUCGAAGCAAAGGCGUCUAAAGUUUUAAAAUUCACAAAUGGUCGUUGACCUUUUGCAACCAUGGUUGUUAAUUAGCAUAAUUAGAAUGCAACUUUGGCACCACUGCACGACCCUAAUCAGACAUAUAUCACCAGCCUGAUCCCAUUUUAGCGCUGAUCCAAGAGUGCAACAGCCGUGCAAGCAUAUCGUCUCUGCCUCUGCAGUUUUCUACUCAAAAGUCAACCAAGCAGCUUGCGAAUUCUGACACGUGAGAAAAUCAUACCCUCUAGAUACACCCACAAUACAAACUAACUGAUUCUACCAACUUUCGGAACAUAUGCAUUGAACUGGAUCCUCGUCGUUUCAACUGAAUGAACAUAGCAUAUAUGUGUUCUUCCAGUUAAAGCAUUGAGCAGCCAAAUUUGAACACUCGGAGAAUCUGAAUGAAUUGAAUGAUCUGUUCGGACAAUCUGCAUAGGCUCAUGCUGUCCCUCUGAUAGAGGAACACAGACAUGUUGUGCAAUGAAAUGAGAUGAAGUUAUGAUCCAAUUGGAGUUGGACACAGGGCCCACCCUGGGAUGAGUCUAUAUAGCAACAAUCAAGCAAUGUCCCAUAUGGACAUGCACAGAGACAAAGGCCACCCCUCCAUUGAAGAUGGUCUUUUCCUUUCCCCAAGCCAAACAAACACACCUCCCUUCAGACCAGCCAAGGGACACCAACCCAAAACCCACUGCCUGCCCAUACACAAGCAAAGCAACAAGACAGAUGAAAAUGCAUCCCAUGAUAAAAAUCCACAAGUAGGGCAUGUCCUCCCUCCCUCCCCCAUAACCAAAUAUAUAUACUGGUAGCAGGACUAGGUGAGCUUCUCCAGGCCUUCAUAGUACAGCAGCAGUGGAGGAGGAGAGUUCAGAGGGGCACCACCACCACCACAAGUACACUCAGAUUUGGGUGUAGGGGGGCGAGAGGUGCAAAGGAGAAGUAUCCCUUUUGCCUCAGCAGCACCUGCUGCUUUCUUCUUCUUCUCUUUGUGCAAGCAAUUGCAACAAGAAACAAUGAUGGCCUGUGGGUCUCGUCAUGGCAACGCCGAGGUUGUCGAUGAGUUUGAGAAGCUGGUCAUCAGGAUGAACCCUCCAAGGUUUCUUUUUCAUCUUUCUUUCUUUCUUUCCAACCCAAACCCCAUGUCUGUCCCCUUGUUUGAAUUGGGAACUGAAUUGGUUGCAGGGUGACGGUGGAUAAUGAGUCCGACAUCACCGCCACCUUGGUCAAGGCAAGCAUUAAAAAGCUUUCAUCUGCUAUCUGCAUAUAUAUACAGUUAUCUUGGUUCUUAAUUUGCAGGCAUUUUUCAGAGGAUUGAGUUGAAUUGUUUUCUGACGCUCUGUGUUUGUCGUUCUGUCUGUUGCUGCAGGUGGACAGCGCGAACAAGUACGGGACGUUGCUGGAGGUGGUUCAGGUGCUGACCGAUCUGAAGCUCACCAUCAACAGGGCCUACAUUUCCUCUGAUGGGGAGUGGUUCAUGGAUGGUGAGUGAGUGAGAGUGUGCUCGAUCUCCUCCUGUAAAGAUUGAGGAAGAAGCUAGCUAAGCUUGCUAGUAGUUAGUUCCCUUUUCUCGCUUUUGGUUCUGGGUGCAAGUAAAAAAUCUUGCCGUCUUUUUGAGCUCCAUCGUCCCUGAUGAGAGGGUGGGUUGCCGGGGGCAACAACUUUUGUGGGUGCAGUGUUCCAUGUCGUGGAUGAGGAAGGGAAUAAGCUUUAUGACGGCCAAGUCAUCGACAGGAUUGAACAGGUAAAGUACUUGCAAGGAAGAAUCAUUGCUCUCAUGCUCUCUCCCCCUCAUCUUAUUAGCUUCUGUAGUACAGCUGCCAGCUAACGAAUGGUUUCAGUUCCAAGAACAGAGCAAGUACAGAGCAAUGUCCUUCAGUGAGUGAGUUCACUGCAAUUGCAAUGCAAUUGAUUUCGUCUUGUUGGUUGUUUCAGUCUCUGGGAGCCGGGUCGCUGAGCUUCCGUGCCACGGACGCCGAGACGGAGACAGCGGCGGCGGCAAUGGCGCAGGCAACGGCGAUCGAGCUGGUGGGCAGGGACAGGCCGGGCCUGCUGUCGGAGGUGUUCGCGGUGCUGACGAACCUCCGCUGCAACAUCGCGUCCUCCGAGGUCUGGACCCACGACGGGCGCAUGGCCGCCCUGGUGCGCGUCACGGACGCCGACACCGGCGCCGGCAUCGAGGAAGACGACGACCCGGAGCGGCUCGACACCGUCAAGCGGCUGCUCCGCCACGUGCUCCGCGGCCGCGCCGCCGUCCAGGCGCGGCCGGGCGGCGCGCUGCACGCGCACCGGCGGCUGCACCAGAUGAUGAGCGCCGACCUCCGCAGCCGCGCCGCCGCUGCCGGCGCCGGAGACGAAGAAGAAGAAGAUUGCGAGGGGGUUGUUGUGGGGGUGGAGGAGUGCGCGGAGAGAGGCUACACGGUGGUGAACGUUCGCUGCCGGGAUAGAGCCAAGCUGCUGUUCGAUACUGUCUGCACGCUGACGGAUAUGCAGUACGUCGUCUUCCACGGCACCGUCAUCGCCGAGGGCUCCGAGGCAUACCAGGUAGUACAGCACAUGAUUAUACUGUUUAAAUUACAGCAUUGCGCCAUUGGUUCCUUCCUGUGCUGCUCAGCUCAUGCAUUGCAUUUGACCAGCUAGAGUAGCAGUAGCAGAGAGCAGUGAGCAGCAGAGAUGCUUGCCUGGGUUGUUAGAUACUGGUAGAUCUUGGCAUGUGACGAGAGGAGAGAGCAGAGAUCCUUUCCUGCCUGCCUGCCUGCCUAGUUUUGUGUGCAACACUUGACUGACUCACAACCAUCACUGUCCCAGUCCUGCAACACAAACAAACAUCCUUUUUUUCGCUCACGAGCACAUGCUGACGGACGGACGGAAUCUAAUCUCUGGCUGCAAUUGCGUUUGCAGGAGUUCUACAUCCGGCACCUCGACGACGGCGCCGCCGCCUCCGCCUCCGCCGCCGACCGCGCCCGCCUCCGCCGCUGCCUCCAGGCCGCCAUCCAACGCCGCAACACCGAGGUACAACAUUCAGACAAGAGCCUCUUCAGACAAACAAUAAUGUUUCUGAGUUCUGACUUUAAUGUAACUAACUGAAAGUGCCUUAAUCUGUUAGGGGGUGGUGGGGCUGGAGCUGCGGUGCGAGGACAGGCCGGGCCUGCUGUCGGACGUGACGCGGGUGUUCCGGGAGCACGGGCUCUCCGUCACGCACGCCGAGGUGGCCACGUGGGGCACCCAGGCGGCCGACGUGUUCCGCGUCGUGACGGCGUCGGGGGACGCGCCCGUGCCGGCGCGCGCCGUGGACGCCGUCCGGGCGGAGGUCGGCGAGGACAUCCUCUUUAUCAAGGAUGAUACCCUCGCCGCCUCCGCCAAUGCUGUGGGUGGGCCUGUGUCGCCGACGGGUCGUGGCGGCGGCGACGGCCGGCGGUCGCUCGGGAACAUGAUCAGGUCUCGGUCCGAGAAGUUCCUCUUCAACUUGGGCCUCAUCAGGUCCUGCUCCUAGACAGCUAGUAGUAGCUCAAGCUGACCAAAGAGUCAACGUCAACGACCGUUGCAGUGCAGCCACCACUAGGUAGCUUAGCCAAGCUAAGUGCUGCUCUAUGUAGGUUGUUCUUGGAUCGAUCAAUCGAUCCUCUUACAUUUGUCUGAGUUUUAAUUCCACUUCUCGGAUGAAAAGGAACCUGGCUAGCUAGCUUAGCUUGCUUGCGGCCGGCUUUCAUCACCAAAAUCACGUGUAAAUAUCUCUCGCUUCUUAAUUAAUUUGCUUUGCUGUUUAUGUGUGGAUUCAUGGGGUCGAGUUGUUUGUGUGCAACGGAUUAAGGAAAGUACUAACCAGGAAUUAGUUUAACCUGGCGUACAAGAGUACGAACGAGUUUACGACGACCGAAUUGGUGGGAAUCGAUCGAGGUCUUUAUGCGCAAGGUUUAAAGCAAGGGACUUUGUUAGCACUUAGGCCAAUGUGCAUAUAGUCAAAGGGAUGAUGCUUAAUUAGCGGCCGGCACGAAGAAGAAUGGAAUGUUCAGACCUGCUGAAGCUAGCAUUCAAACUGCAAAUCAUGGCCGCAUCUCCUAUUGCCUUUGGAAAUCAAAUCAAUGAUCAGCUUGGUUUUAGUCGAAAACAGUACCUCCUCCAUCCAACAAAGUAUGUCUCAACUUUAACUAAAUUUGAAUACAUCUAUACACUAAGUCAUGUCUAGAUACAUCUAAAUAAUUUUGACAAACUUGAAACAUCUUUUGUUGUACUGAGUGAGUACAUUUAUGUGGAGUUUCUAAGGAACAGACGAAUUCGUCAAGACGACAGAGGACAGUACACACAUGAGCUUAGCACUGGCGCGGUCCGUAUAAUGCAUACGGACGCACAGGCACAGCGAACGGCACGUGAUCCACACUUUGUAACAUCUCCCCCAAUAAACGAAUCGAAACAGUCUGCUCCUGUUGAACCUAGUGCUAAACCUCAGUGCCGCACAGCGGCGCGACGAAAACAAAAAUGAAAGCCGAACGCCUUUGCAUUGUUCUCGUAACUAACCCAAGUAACACUCCAUGCAAACCGGGUUAAAAAUUAUCUGAUGGUUACCUAACCGGCUUUUGCUGGUUAGUGUUUUGUGGUUACAUUUAAUCAUUUGCACCGUCAUUAAUUAAGUAAGUGAAGGUGUCCUGGUCAGUUAGCUUGUUAGUUUAUCUGGACAAAAUUAAACGCGCGGCAGAUGGUCCGGUGAGCAGUAUGGCUGCACGAUGCAUUUCUUUUGGGCAGACAACUUGUGAUGAUGAUCAGAAUUGAAGGGUAUAAACAGUAGCAGUACUAGCAAAAGGCACGAAACAGUGCUGGUUAACUUUCUACCACGUUUUAAUCCAAAAGUCUUUCUGUCUUUGCCGGCCGAAUUUUUUGCGGCAGUGCCCCCCGUUCAAUGUUUUUGUCAAUACUGGCCCCUUCCGAAAAGUAUUGACAAAACUAGCCUGCCAGAAAACCCAGAAAGCGACACGUGGACUUUUCGUCGAUGGCAUUGGCGGAAUGUACUGUACACGCACUGUAGUAGUACCAGCGCAUUGUUUGUGCAUUUGUACCGGAAAAUGCUUUUGCCCCCUUUCCGCCAGGCUACUUUUGCAAUUUCGUUUUGAAGGGGGUUAAAUUUGUCAAAAAAAUUUGGGGUGGGGGGGGGGGGGGGGAGGCUGCCGCAAAAAAAUCUUGCCGGCCGUACCGUACCUGCGUGGAGGGGAGGUGGGAUGUGCGUCAUUGUAAAGACGUCCCCGACACGUGCAGAAAUUAGCAAACAUCACUGAAAUUGCAGUAAAUAGUAAGAGUACAUCAAACAGUAGACAGAGAGCUCGAUCCAAAAUACUUGGUCGUUGAACCAGCACGUAGCGGAAACUGAAAACGGUUUUGUCUAUUUUUAAUAGGGUACCUUGUUGUCGUUGUAUCUAGAUUGUGUUUUUUAUGAUUCGAAACGAACGAUUGAUUAGUUGAGUUGGGAUGACAUCCAAAUCCAACAGCUCUGAUAAAUCGACUGAGAUUUAUUUAUUUUUAAAAAAAAUCAAGCAACACUGAAAUAGACACACCAAAUGAAAAAUAGUUGGGAUGUAAUACAAGAAUCAUUGCAAGGCAGGUGUGGGAGCCAAUCCUGGCGCUUUGGGGUCACCUUGACCGGCGGCCGGAGAGUGACUCCAACAUCGGGGAGUGGUGGGCCACUGGUGCUGUUCCGCAGGGCGCUCGGACAAAGUUCAGGACUGCGACGGCACCGGUGUUAUGGUCUAUCUCGAAGCAUCGGAAUGAUGUUGUCUUUAAUGGAGCUUCACCUUCUUACGCCCAGAUUCUACGCCUUAUCAUUGAGGAGGCGGUCUGCUCGGAGAGAGCUAGACAGAUUAGGGAUAGCUUUUCCUUUUCGACCCUUACGGUGGCAUUAUUACGCUAGCCGGUGUUGUAUCGGCCUCUAGGCCUCCCCUUCUGUAAACGAUGAUGUAACCGCUUGGUUGCAUUCUAUGAAAAAAAAACAAGAAUCAGCGUUGUGGAGAUAGUGUGGGUUGAUGUUGUCGGAAAUGCUACAGAACUUUCUUGUUUUGGUGGCAGUAGUUCUCGCCCAAAUGUGCUGGCAACUUGUUUUGAGCUUCGGUUGCUGUUGAACCGGAAUGGUUAGAGCAUUGUUGUUCAGGCUCUCAUAUGUAUGCGGAUAACUUAUCGGACACUAUGGUUUUCAUUAAUGAAACUGGGGAUUUUUUUUUUACCGGAAAUGUGAGGUUUGAUUAAAAAUAUUCGGUGCUCUGUUUUUUUUUUCAAUGCUCUGUCGUGAAUUAGUGCUACAUCAUAGAAAUGUCAACCGGUGAACGAAAGUGGUUUGCGUUCCCUGAAUCGAGGCUCACACGUCGGCGAUGGAACUCGUCAUCGAUCCUCAAACCAGAGGGUGCGGUAAUAACGACUAGACCUCCAAAUCUCCAGUCCAAGGCAGCCAGUUUCCAAACCGCGGCAUGAUUGGAAGGAAGAUGCUGGCAAUGAUUGGCAGCGCGAAAUCUGGAGCGCUCGUCGAGGCCAACCGACGACGGCCACCCAUGUUGCUGGGACACCUCCCAUUGGCUGCACCUGCACGCGCAUCGGGCUCGAUCGAUCUGCCCCCAAGAAAGUAGCAGUAGAAAGGCCACAAGUUGUUGUAAAACGGAAAGCGGGAGAUUCUCGUUUCGCUUACAGCAGCAAAAAGCUUCGGCUCCGCGUCUAUCGAUCAGGUCGAUAUAAUAGUCGUCGGACAUUGUGGGCAGCACGUCCUUAACAGUCGCGAAAUUUUUUCACAUUUUGCAGACGGUGAUUACUACAGUACGCAGGAGUACUCCGGAGCUUUAUUACAGCAUAAUGUUGGUACAGCACUAGGACUUGCUCGUACCCUGUUUCAGCAAGUACUCGCCGUAUAUGGCUACUGACUGACAUGCCGCUCUGACUGUACGUAUGCGUCCAAGAGGAGGAUAGGUAUGCAUGGAGAUGGUUAUCCUGCGGCGUAUCCCCUGGCGACCUUGUAGUUGCAGAGCCCUAUCUGAACCCCUGCAAAGCGAUGGGCUGCCCAUGCCUGCCUGAACGACGACGCAUGGCAUGGAUCCACCAACCGGCAGCCGAAUCCGCGUGGAGCAUCUCAAACCGCAGCAAACAGCCGCCCGCACUGCCGCACCGCAUCUGGCUGCAGCUAUCGAUGCGAGCGCGCGCAGUGGUCACGCCCCGGCGGCACACGGCACGGGCGGCGAUCGCGAGAGCACGCGCCGGCACCCAAUGAGAAUGAGGUCGCGCUCGCAGGCGGCCAGUCAGGGGAAUCUGGGCGGGCGCAAAGAUCCCCAUGCCACGCAGCGGCAGUCAGGCCAGGGGCGAGAGCGAGACGACGAGCCGGCCGGCGCGGGGCCCGAUGAAGAUAUGCGAGCGAGAUCGAUCGAUCCAUCGGUCGCUGGCUGGCUGCUUGUCCAGCCCCGGGGGUUUUGGCUUGGGAUGUCCGGCCGGCGGCAGGGAUCCGAUGCGACCGGGCCGGCCAAGUCGGCUUCCUCGUUGUUUCUCAUUUUUUUUUCCUGUCCGAUAAAAUAUGCCCCUCGUCGGUCUCCUUUCAUGGGCUGCACGCCUGCACGUACCACUACCGACCUAUAGUACGUGCUUGGCCCAUGCAUGUUUCACCGAUCGACCGACUGACCAGCACAGAAUUGUAACUUGAGGUGACGCACACUGCUGCAAAACACAACAUAAGUCAUUAGUGACGGGCGCACAAAACCCGUCACUCAUGACCUCUCAUCAGUGACGGGCGCAGUACGUCCCUCAUCAGUGACGGGUCCGUCACUGAUGAACCCUCAUGAGUGACGGGUUUUUUUCGCCCGUCACUGAUGAACCCUUAUUAGUGACGGGUGCGGAAAGCCUGCCACUAACGGCCAAAUAUUAAAAAUCACAAAAAUACACAUCAAUGGCGGGCUUUACAUUUAGGCCCGCCACUGAUGACCCCUUGAGACCUUUGGAGAUUGGAAAAUUCAUAACUAAUUCAUAAAAAAUUAGAAAAAUGUGAUUCUUUUUGCUGAAGUCUUAUUUUUUCUUGCUUAACAUAGUGGAAUAAUAAUAUCAUAUGGUAACAUUUGAAAAAAUGACAUGUGUAGUACAACCUUGUUAUUUCACAUAGUUGAACUUUAGGUUUUAACCCAAAUGGCCAAAGUUUUGUCAGUUUCUAUGCCACAUUUCAUGAUAACGUAUCCAUUUUUGCAAAAGGUGAAUCUUGUGAUGAAAAACAAUAUUGCCAAAGAGGUUUACCAUGUUUUGGUUAUAAAAAGUGAUUUUCCAAUUUCCAAAUGCAAAAAAUGAGAUAUUUUUUGAAGCAACUACAAUUAAUAUUGUUCAAAAUGAAACCUAUCCAUUUUUCACAAAAGAUAAACCAUAUUAAAAUUUAUAGGCCAAUUUAAUUAUAUGAAAUACUUCAUAUUACAAGAAGUAUGAAAAAUACAAAAAAAAAGUGCCUGGACUCAUCACCAACGGGUUUUAAAGUUAGACCCGCCACUGAUACUACUGGGCCAAGCCAUUUUAGGCCCGACCCACUUCUUCCUAUAUAAAGGGACAACUAACCCUAACUCCUUCCUUCAAUCCUCCGCGCCGCCAGCCUCCCUCCCCUCCCUAUCUCUCCGAUCUCCCUCUGUCUCCUCGCGCGCCCCACCAGUCCCCCUACUCGAUCUCCUCUUCCUCCCCGAUUUCUCUUUGUCUCCCUCCCCUAUUCUCUCCCCGAGCGUGCACAAGAUGGCCGCACCCACACCGGCGCCGCCCGCGCCUGCGGUGACUCAUGGCGGCCGCCAUGGACGCCUCCCCUCUUCUGUCCCCGAGCGCCCUUGUCUUCGCCAUCGCCGCCAUGGAGCUCCGCCACUGCCGCCCCCGAGCCCGUCUCACCCUUUCUCUAUCUCUCCGUCGCUUACUCUCUCUCUGACUCACUCACUCUCCCUCGCAGCCAGGGCUCCCACGCCGGCGGAUUCGGUCACCGCGGGCCGGGAUCUGGCCGCCCCGGCCUCCAAUAGGGUGGAUCCGGCGGUCGCGGGCCAGGAUUCGGCCGCAUCGGCCUCCAUGCCAAUGGAUCCGGCGACCCUCUCUCUCAGUUCUCGGCCAUGGCUAUCGCAAGUACGCCCCCUCCCUCUCUCUCAGUUCUCUAUUCCUCUUAUUUCUCACUCUCUCUCCCCGUCGGCACCGGAUCGGGGGACCCACUUUCACCGGCAGCGCGCGGGGCCUGGAGCACCGGCGGCGGCGGGCGGUGAGCGGCGGCACCAUGUCCUUGAGAAGCCGGCGAUAUUAUUUUUUGUGAUUUUUUAACAUAGAACGGGCUGCUUUGUGGAUUCAGGGCGGGCUUGGGGCCGGCCUCGUUUUUUCUUCUUCUAAUCCAUAUCAAUGUCGGGCGUGUAGCUUGACCGUUAGUGAUGAAGUCCCUCAUCACUAACGGGUGGACCACCCGUUACUGAUGUUAAGCACAUCAUCGGCAGGAAGUUAGUGGCGGGCGGUCCGCCCAUUACUGAUACAUUUUUUUGACCGUCACUAUUUGACUGUCACUAAUGAGUCUUUUUGUAGUAGUGCGUUCUGCCCUGAAACCCACGUGUAUGUCACGUGAUGGGCACAACCUUUACUUACACGCCGGUCGUUCCUCCACGUACCACAACAAGCGCAUUUUUUGCCUGUGUCAGCACAGAAACGAUCGACGGGAAAAUGUGGGAAAACAAUUUUCAUCAAUCCAUCUUCUCCAGCGGUCUAGCGCCCAUCCAUUCAUCCGGCCUCGUCCGCUCUUCAAAUUUGUUUUCCAGGACCAAAAAAUAAAUAAAUUCUCUUAAUUCAGUGGGGUGUCCAGCUCCAGGCCCAGGCAAGAGAGUUGCAAUCAUCGUACUCACAUCGAGUGACUCAGCCUAUAUCCUGAGAAAGCGAUCGCAAUUUAUCGCCACAAUUGAGGGCGUCAACUUGAUUCUUGGAAUCUUAUUCCCGGUGUUUUUUUGUCACGUGUAUAUAUGCGGAUCGGAUGCUGCAAUCUGGGAGAAAGAGUGUUGUCGUGCUAGAGAUAUUUUCUUGUCUCGAAGAUCCAUCGAUUCCGGUACAUGAUUCUGGCAAAAUUCGUUAUCCAUGACGUCUACGAGCCGCACAUUUCUGGGCCGACAUGGACCAGCCAGGCUCCCCCGCUCGUCCUUUGCGAGGAAAUUGUCGCCGUCACGUUCGGCCUUUUCGGGUGACCGAUUAUGGCCCACUGGGCUCCACGGGAGAUUUUACUGGGAAGAAAAUUUCCCAUUCGGUGGGAUAUUCAAGGGCCUACCAACUCACUCACCCAUAUGCUGACAAUCUUUUAAGAGUAAAUUACACAAAACCACCACAUUAUGGGUUAGGGUUUCACAUAGGUACUAGUUUUUGUUUUAGUUAAAAACACAACCGGAUUAGUAUAACCCCUCGCUUGCUAGCGUAUAAGCCCGUCUCUAAUGAGGUGGGUCCACAGGUAAGUCCAACGUGGCGUCCAUGCUAGCAAUAUCCCUUCUUCCUCCCUGCACUGUCUCUGUUCCCAGUCUAAAGGCCGAUGGGUCCUCACUGGCCAUGGCGCCGGAGCAGCGGCGCGCGGAGCCGCGGCGCGGCGUGGCACAGCAGGGCGCGGGCGAGAAGCCGCGCGGCCUCGCGGCGCGGCGGCAGAGCAGCCGCGCGCGGGCGAGAAGCGGCGGUGCGCGGCGCAGCAGGGCGCGGGCGAGAAGCGGCACUGCACGCGGAGCAGCAGCGUGCGGGCGAGCAGCGACGAGCGAUGGCACGAGCGGGGGAGCGCGGCGGCACGCAGGGCGAGCAGGGGCACGCCGGAGCAAGCGGCGGCACGCAGGGCGAGUGACGGCGCGCAGGGCGAGCGGGGGCGCACGGGGGCAAGCAGCAGUGCGGGGGGGACGGCCGGAGCAGCGGCUUGGCGGCGAGGAGCUUCUUAGGGGAACAAGGAGAGGAAGGAGCUUGACGAGGGAGAGCUUUGGGAGAUAGCAGAGAGAGAAAGACAUUAUUUGACAUGCUGGCACGUCACAUAGGCCUGACUGGUGGACCCAUUCUGUCAGAAAUGUGUUUAGACACUAGCGAACGAGGGAUUAACUAAAUUCGGUGGUUUUUAGCAACCAAAACGUAAAGCGGUACCAAUGUGAAAUCCUAACCCCUAAUGUGGUGGUUUUGUGUAAUUUACUCAUCUUUUAACGUUACACUACUACAGAAACGGUUAUCAGUAACGGUCGAAAAAGCAUAUCAGUAACGGUCGGGGCCGCCGUUACUAACUUCGUGUUACUGAUGAUACCCAUCAUCAGUAACGGUCGCUCCGACCGUUACUGAUGUAUAUAUACAUCAGUGGCGGUCGCUCCUCCCCGAUCGUUACUGAUAUAUAUAUCAUCAGUAACGGUUGCGUCGCCACAUCAGUGUCGGUCGAGCGACCGACACUGAUACAUUUUCGGUAUUUAAAAUAAUAAUUAAAACCAUAGGAAAUACACAUCAAAUUACAUACAGCUAGCAAAUUAUAUACAGAAUGUAUCUCAUCACAGAAAAAUGUAUCUCAUCACAGAAAAGUACAUAUAAAGCCGCAUCACAUCACAUCAUUUAAAGCAUAUAAAGAAUACAAAUGUAUCUCACUUCACGACAUUGAUUACAAAGUGUCAAAAUUCCAUAGAAGCAUAAUUACAAAGUGUCAAAAUUUCAUGAAAGCAUAUAAAGAAUACAAAUGUAUCUCAUUUCAAGUUUGAAUCUAUUGUCGUGGGUGAACCCUAGACACGACUUGUUCCACGCGUUCGAAGAAGUCCCCACUAGGCUUGAUGACCUCAUUGUUUAUGAGAUGGGCGAACUCUCUUUGAAUGUUAUAGACGACCCAUUUAGGUCGGUGUCCCAUUGUCAUUCGGGGCCGCCAGUACUCUUACAUCGCUGCGACUGACCCCUUCCACUCAGGCUUGAACAUGCUGGCAUUCUCCAUAAGGAUGUGAGAGCAGUAGUAGCCACAGAACACACUUCCGGGCGGCUAUUGCUGGCAAGGGAACCUGUGGUUGUGGUGAGGCUCGUCUUUAUAGCCUUUACCAGCUAGUUUUCCCUUGGUCGCCACUUUCCAGGCAGUGUUAAUGUGUGAUUUGAUGGGUUUCCAGAACCUACCUCGAACACCCUUCUUCGGAAGCAGUGAAUCGAAGUAGUACACCGCGGACCAAGAUAAACAAAUGAGUAGUGUCAUCCAAUGGUCUCUGUUUUCAAAAGAAACAAACUUUAGUAUCUAAGGUGUAUAAGAAAGACUGAAUUAGAAAAAACAAACGGUUCCAUAUAUAAAAUUGAACUUACUCCAAAUUAAGGAAGAAAAGGAUGAAGUCGUCGUCCGCGUAUUUCUUGAGACAUGCCACCAAGUAUUUAGAUGCCAUGGUUCUUGAGGCAUCCUUUUCAGGCUCAAGACCGAUGUCACUGUAGUUGAACAUCGCGGGAUUUAGAAUGGCUACUUUUUUGACCUCCAAUCGCCGCAGUUCUCUUAUUUGGUAGGCAGACCACAGCCUUAAGACGUUGAUAUCAAGCUUUUGGCGGUUGAAGAGUUGGAACAGUUCGUUAAACUCCACACCAAAGGUGAUAGGACGUUCCUGAAUGCUCCCAGUUUCUUGGUCAAAGAAACUAUAGUCUCGUAGGAUUCUAACAUUAAUCUGUUGGGCAUGCUGUUCAGAACUAGCUGAUGCUUGCUUGUAGAAUUGAUGAAGCUCUUGCAUCUCUCUGGACAUGGCACGCAAGGAAUCUUCAGUGACCAUCGGUCUUCCAGUAUAGUAAAGAAGCACCCGGUCGAACUCCCUAGCCACGAAAUAGGAUCCGUCUUCAAAUCUCUGGCCUUGAUAUGGGUUCUUGAUGAGAAUGUCAGGCCUAUUGUCCUCCCAGACUCCAGUUAUGUCAGGCACAUGGUGCAUCUCAUCUUGAGUGACAGUGGAGGACUCCUUGAUGGUCUUGCCGCCUCGCCCCCUCUUUUUAUGCCUCCUCUUGCUGUCCCAUGCCUUCUGCUCCUCUGCCUUAUACUUGUCAUCAAUCUUGCGGCCACCCAUGGACUCAGCGGCACCCAAGAGAGAGAAGGUGGGAGGGAUGCUUCCAACCUGUGCCGACCCUGUGGUCUGGCUAUCUUUAAGCUGUGCAGGCAUCGACAUUGCCCGCUCUUCAUCUCCGCCGGCAUCUACAGGAGGAAGUAUCCUAGGGGAAAGGCUGAGCAGCGAAUGAGAAGUACCUUUCUGGGCAGAGGGAGAUGGAGUCAUAGAGGGCCGGCGUUGGUUGUAGAGGGAUACCAAGCUCCUAGGCCACAUAAUUCGGUAGUUUGGACAACCGCUUAGGAUAUCCACGCCAUCCUCCGGAGGAAGCGGAAUAGCAUAAUCCCGAUGGUCGUCGACGACGGAGUCCACCAUCACACUCACUUGUGCGUCGUUCAUGAGAAUGCCGUGCACCAGUGGCGGUGAUUGUCUGGCAUUCAGGCGGCCAAUGGCGCCUACAGGCUUCACAGGCUUGUCAACGUGGAUACGACACUUCACCGGUGCCUACGCGUAACAAGAAGAAGGCAUAUGUGUGUAAGAUCUUUAUUCAUGAAGGUAAGGAUUGAAAAAGAGUUUGAAAAGAUUGCUUACAAGGAUGUUGUCGCUCGGACCCUGACCGUUAUCCCGGCUGCCCUCGCUUGGGGAAGGUUGGCUAGCGGGGGGGUUGUCCAUGCUAGGAGCUGGGCUGUAACCUGGGGUGUAGGUUUCUUCGUCCUCCAUACGUGUGUCGGAGGCGGCGCUGCUCUUCAGAGGAGGAAGGAGGUUCCUCAAACCUUCCACUCCUCCCCCGAGUAUGGCACCAAGGGCGGGGUGGUCUUUGACCAAUGCCGACACCAAAUGAUGGACGGCUUGCACUGCAUAUUCCCGCGACACCUCUUGAGACACGAUAGAUGCCUGCUCUCGUGCCUCCGCCUUAGCUUGUUCUAUUAUCUCAGAAGAAGCGGGGAGCUUUUUCUGGACCCUGCUUCGCUUCGGAGCAGGCAGGAAAUAAUCAUCCCAGCAGGCCCCUUCGCCUUCUCCUAGAAACGGCCCGUGUGCUCCGCCUUUUGCAAGCCGGCGGUCAGAGCCGACUCCCACCUCUUGCUCUGCACGGAGUUGUCGGAGGUCUCUGACCUCUUGUUCUCCUCCCAUUUGUGGGCAUUUUCCUAUUAUCAUAUAAGACAGGACGUGAGUCUAUAUGGAUCAGGAGUGUCAUAAUUCACGCCGAAAACAACUAAAUGCACGUGAACCCUUACCGUAAAUUUUUUAACAGGCGGCUGCAUUGGCCCAAUGCCCGCCCACUGCUCGGGUGUCAUGUGCUGACGUGCAUAUUCUCUAGCACGUUGGUCCUCUAGCAUGUCAUGCACAGGAGGCACCCUGCCUGCCGCCUCGAGAAUUUGGUCCUUUGCGCCAGACCUUCUUCUUCCCCUCUUUCCCUGCACUCCCUAGCCUGUGGUUCAAGGGCUUCCUUAAGCGCAGCGCCCUCAUGCGUUCACUCUUCGCAAUGAAGGCAGGGUCAGACGAUUCCUUCUUGAACUUUUCCCAUUCGGCCUCAUCAGUUACCGACGGCCAUUUCUUCUUGAUGAUCUCGUACGGUUUGUCCAUCCACCUUCUAGCGGUGGUUUUCCAAUUAGCAAGUCCAUUGCGGACUGCUAUGUUGACGGCCGCUAGGAAUCGCUCGCGCCACUCGUCGGUGACUUGGAACCUUCUUGCAACGUCCGCGAUGCAUGUGUCUCUAACAACUUGGGAGAUGUCACUCCACUCGUCGGUGAUCUUGCAAUACUUGCGUGCAACGGCUCCACAGGUCGUUGCAAAGGCCUUCUGUGCCCUCUCAGGCGACUCCGGGCGGCCUCUGUCAGAGUGCCGGGUGACCACGUCACAUAACUCCUUCAAGUUGUGGCUCCCCCUCGGUGUCUUCUUCCUUGGCUUCUUAGGGGGAGUUUCAGAAGGUUGCGGGUUACUCUCGUUGUUGCGCUCUUCUGACCUAGAGGGGCCUGAGCCAGAGCUGGCAAUUUGCUCUCCCGAUGAAGACUCUUCAUCGACACGAUCUAUCUCCUCCCGAUCAAGAACUGGAUUCUGGUUACUCUUGUCCAUUUCGUACCUAUGCCAUCAAAACCAUCAAAUAUGUAUCGGCCGAAAAUUUCGGCAUGGCCUAUGCUAAAAAAAACCACCCCCAUAUGUACCCCCUCGGCACGAUGGCCGACCCCUUCUCGAAUGACCCGACACGAUGGUUGGGCCCACAAUUCAUUACUCAUGUGUAUAUAGCAUAUAAAAAAUCAUGUAUAUAAUGCAUAUACUCAUGUGUGCCCAUCUAACUCAAUUAUCCACUACGACAAACUACAAAUCAUGCUCUUAUAAAUCAGCAAGCUAACACUUGCAUACAUAUGACAGCAACAUAUAAACAGCAACAAAGAAUCAUAUAAAGAACCUAAUUAUAUAGCAGCAGCAGUAAACAACAUGUUAAGGUGGCUUGAAUAAGCAGCAAGGCUAAACAAUAUAAGCAGGAAGGCUAAACAAUAUAAGCAGGAAGGCUAAUGUGCAGUAGUAAACAACAUGUUAAGUUCUAGGAGCACAAAUAACAACGUGUGCCCAUGUACUAACCCUACAAUGUACUAACCCUAUAUCAAAUUUUCAUAAUCUAAAUCGGGAUAUUGCCCAUGUACUAAAUUUGACAGCAACAAACCCUUCUAACAGAUGCUGAACUCUCAAUUUUCAUAAUCUAAAUCGGGAUAUUGCAAUCAAAUCUUAACCCUAACCCUAACCUGUGGCUCGGGGAGGAGGCGGUCGGGCGAGGACGACGUGGGGUGGCGGCGCUCGGGGAGGAGGCGGUCGGGCUCGGGGACGACGGUCGGGGAUGACGGGCGGUGCGGGGUGACGGUGGUCGGGCGAGGACGACGCGGGGAGGAGGCGCUCGGACUCGGGGACGAGGACGUGGCGUCGGGCUCGGGCGGCGUCACGGAGGAAGACGGCGGCGUCGGGCACGUCAAGCGGCGUUAGGCAGGAGGUGCUUGGGCUCGAGGAGGAGGAAGACAGCAGCGUCGAGGACGCGGCGUCGGGCUCGGGCAGCGCGCGGGGUCGACGGCGGCGGCGGCGCGAAAAUCCGGCGGCGCUUCCGCUAGGGUUAGGAAAUCUCACAGCUGGUCUCUCGGGUUAGGUGAGGACGCGCAGGCAAGAAUGAUUCUAAGUGUUUCAACGGGUUCCGUUAUAUACCCCAUGCACAUCAGUAACGGACGGAUAAGGAAUGCGACCGUUACUGAUGUCUAGAAGAACAUCAGUAACGGGCGUGUGGCUCAGCGACCGUUACUAGUAUAAGAACAUCAGUGGCGGUCGCAUAGUAGUCGCCCGUUACUGAUGUGCUCCUAUACAUCACUAACGGUCGCAUAGUAGCUGACCGUUACUGAUGUGCUGCUAUGCUUCUUGGCAGUUGUAUUUUUCUAGUAUUUGUGCAUUUCUCCAGUACAAAUUUGUAUUCAUGCAUUUCUCUAGUACAAAUUUCAAUUCAUGCAUACAAAUUUCAAAAAAUCCAUCACAUGCAUACAAUUUCAAAAAAUUCACUUAGUACAAAGUUUGCAUUAAGAUUCAGUACAAGUACAUUUUUACAAUGUGACUACUAGUGAUUCUCCUUCCUUCGGUAAGUCAUAACUUGACUUCUCGCAGAACUGCUUCUGAGAUAAGGUUUUUGUGGUAUUUUCUUGCUGUCGCUCCCAUCACUUCUUCUUUUCCCUCUUCUUUUCCUCGUUAAUAUCGUGCGUUCCGCUUCUUCGUCGUCUGCGGCGGUCGUCGGAUCAUGGAAACCUUCGUAGUCUUCUUGUGAAGUAACUCCGUCCACUCCAACAAUGCUUCUUUUCCCUCAUCUUACUAUGACGCGGCUUUUAUUUGCCGGGUCGUCUAUGUAGAAUACCUGCUUGCAUUGUUUACCAAAGACCCAUGGUUCCUCUCUUGUUGGGAUUUUUCUCACGUCAACUUGUUCACGAGGGAUCUCAGGAGGUAGCACCAUCGUCGUGAACCUGUGACUUUCUUCUUUGUCACCUUUGGUCCAUCUUACACGGAACAUUGGGAUCUUUGUGAUCGAGUACUCCAAUUCCCAGAUCUCCUCGAUAAUGCCGAAGAACGCUUUGGUUUUGCUGUUGUCAUCGGUCGCGGUCUCAGAAGUCAUGACUACACCACUAUUUUGAUACGUGCUUUUACGGUCCUGAGAUGCAGUGUACAAGUUAUAGCCGUUGAUCGCAUAUGAUUGCCAAGUAGAGACAUGGAAAGCAGGUUGCCGUGACAAACAUACAACCGUCUCUUCUGAUACAUUGGUCGUCUCCCUGCCGUACCAAUAAUUGUUCAGCCACGCCGCGAAUGUUUUAUUGUGCUCCCAGUGGAUCCAGACUUCUCCUCUUUUAGGGUUUUCAUUUCGCAGUUGUUCCAUGUGCAUUUCCUGAUAAGGACGGCAGCAAUCGACAGUUUGCAACACAACCAAAUGUGCUCUUUCAAAGUCAGCUUCCCUUCCUCUUCCAUAGACAUUAAGGUACGUAUGUCCAAGGCCACCUUCGCCAUCGAGCUUGCCCUUGUGUCGUGAUUCGGGAACACCUAUUGAUUUCUGAUCGGCCAACAAAUCCGUGCAGAACUCGAUGCACUCUUCUGCCCUAAAGCCUUCCACGAUGCUACCUUCCGGACACGAUCUGUUACGAACGUACCGCUUCAGAACCCCAUUGUAUCGUUCAGGGCCAUACAUGUUAUGCAGGAACGAGGGCCCUAGGGACAGGAUCUCAUCGCAUAUGUGGAUCAUUAGAUGGACCAUGAUAUCGAAGAAUGAUGGAGGGAAGAACAUUUCGAGCUCGCACAGAAUCUGUAUCAUACUAUCCUUCAGUAUCUGGCAUCGUCUAAUAGUGAUUGAUUUCUGCGAGAUGCUGUCAAAGAAGUCAGAAAGCUUCAUGAUUGUCUCCCUUAUGUGCGGCUCCAUGAUACCUCUGAUUGCGACUGGAAGUAACUGAGUGAGUAUGACAUGGUUGUCGUGACUCUUCAUGCCAGAUAGCUCGUGACUCUUCAUGUCGAUGGGACUUUAAUGCCCUGCAGGCACUGGCACAUCCUAUGCAACUCGUCUUUGUACGGGUUGUAACAUGCAAGACGACAUCGCGUGGUCACCGUCACGAAACCAUUCUUGUCGGCUGCUGACACUUGAACUUUUCCCCACAACUCUUUCCUGAUAGACAUGAGUUCCAGGUCCUUCCGUGCGUUGGGUCCAUCUUUCGUCUUCUCUGGAAUGUUCAUCAGCAAUCCCAGCACGCUGUCGCAUACAUUUUUCUCCACGUGCAUGACAUCUAUACUGUGGCGGCAUCCUAAAUGUGCCCAGUACUCCAAGUCCCAGAAUAUGGACCUCCUUUUCCACACGACGCCUUCAGGUUUCAUAUAUUUCUUCGCAGCAAUCUUUCCGGGGACAACCUCAAGAUCGUUCACAAUUUCGAGGAUUUGCAUACCAGACUUCUCCUUCGGCGCUGUCCCGUGCUCCGUCUUCCCAUUGAACCUUUCCUUGUCAUCCCUCCAAGGGUCUUUAGUAUCCAAUCACUUUCGGUGGCCCAUGUACACAAUUUUGGAUGAAGCGGGCAACUUCUCCGAUGUCAUGUUUUCCCCGCACUUUGUACAGGCCUCGUAGCCAUGUGUCACCUGGCAUGAAGUAUUUCCAUUCGCGAGGUAGUCAUGCACGCAGGUCAGAAGCGCUGCUCUCAUCAUGAAGUACUCCCUCAUAUUUGCGUCCCAAACCACUCUGCCAGGGUUCCAAAGCUACUUCAGCUCAUCCUUCACUAGCUGCAGAUACACAUUUAGGUCAGCUCCCGGCUGCUUUGGACCCUGUAUGAGCAUGCACAUGUGGAUGUACUUUCUCUUCAUGAUUAACCAUGGAAGAAGGUUGUAGACAAACAAGAUCACUGGCCAUGUGUUGUGCUUGUUGUUCUUGUUUCCGAAAGGAUUUAUCCCGUCAGUGCUGAGACCGAGCCUCAGGUUUCUGGGCUCUGCCCCAAAAUCUAGAAAUGCCGUGUCGAAGUUCCUCCACUGAGUCCCAUCGGCAGGGUGUCUUAGGACCCCAGCUUCGUCCACACGGUAGUGCCCGUCAGGAUCGAAUGCAGCCUGCGCCGGAUCGUGAUAGACGGGAUACCUCGCAUCCAUAACGUUCUGCAUCCAACGCUCAACUCAGCCACCUGUCAUAAGAUACCAGACAGUCUUUGCUGGCCUACCCUUCAUCACUUCUUCCCCAUCGUCUUCGCCAGCUCUGGCGUUUUUCUUCUUGUAUCUCGAUGCACUGCAUAUGUGGCAGCUCUCAUGGUUCUCGUACUCUCCAAUGUAAACCAUGUAGUCGUUUGGACAUGAAUGAUGUUUCACGCAAUCCAAUCCGACCGGGCAUGUAAUCUUCUUCGCCUCGUAUGUGCUCUUGGGCAACUUAUUUGGCUGUGGAAAAACCGAAGCAAGGUAACUCAACAAGCCCGUGAAGCCCUUGUCUGACCAGCAUGAUGCUGCCUUCAGCCUCAAAAGUUCGAGCGUCACUUCGAGCGCGUUGUUUUCUUCGCCAACUCCAUCAUACAAGGGUGUGUUUGCGUCCUCCAACAAUUUUUUGAACUGAGCAGACUCUGCCUCAUCUUUGGGGUCCUCCAGCUGGUCCCGUAGGUAUGGGUCAUCUAGCAUUUCAGCAAUCCUGCCACGUGGAGCUACUUCACCUUCCACAUUAGCCUCCUCAUCAACCCUUGUUUCUUCCUCGGAAUCAUUCGCCAGAUCAUACCGCAGGACAUAAUCAUCUUCGCUACCGCUACCGACAUCAACCGCAUCCUCCCCGUGACAAGUCCAGCGAGAAUAACCAUCGACAAAACCCGAUGCCAGCACAUGCAUCUGAACAUCUUCAGGCUUCAUCAUGCAUGUGUUUCCACAUUUGCGACAUGGGCAACGCAUCAUCAAAAGUCCUUUUCGUUUCAUAUCACCUUUCGCGACUCCAAAAAAGACCGUCCAUUCGGUUAUCCAUCGAGCAUUGAUUCUUUCCUUGGCGUACAUCCAAGAACGAUCCUUCGAUCUACAACACAGUACACAAGAAAACAAAAAAGCAAAAUAGUUAGCCUAAUCAUUGACAAGGAGAUUAAUGUGCUAAAUAACCGGAGCUAACUAAAAUUUUGAAACUACAGACAUUCGGAAAGAAUUUAGAGGCCGGCGAGAAAGAUCAGCAGGGAGAGAGAGCACGCAAGCGAGAGGGAAGCUCCGAGCGACGAUGAGGACGCCGCAUUUCGGCCGGCAGCCGCGGAGCUCAAAAGUUUGAAAUUGGGAAAAUUUGGAGAGAAAUUGGAGGCCGGCGAGAGAGAUCGGGGGGGGGGGGGGGGGAGAGGAAAGCUUAGGGCUCGAAGAUCGCAGCGCGCCGGCCACCGGAGCUCCAAAAAUGGAGCUCGGCGGCCAUGGCCGCUCGCCGGCCAUGGAGACGGCGCCGCCGGCACGGGGGGAAGGGAGGAGGGCGUACCUGGGGUGCUCGCCGGCAGCCAUGGCGCGGUCGGGCGGCACCUCGUCGUCGCCGGAGAGGAAGGGGCCGCAGCUGGUCCGUGACGACGUGCGGCGCGACCAGCUGCGGCUCCGCACAGCGUAUUUAAAACGCGAGUUACAUCAGUGUCAAUCGAGGUUUUCUCGACCGUUACUGAUACUCGUGUACACAUCAGUAACGGUCGAGCUGGUCCGACCGUUACUGAUGCAUGGUUCAUCAAUGGCGGUCGCCCCUUAACCGACCGCCGCUGAUGUAACUCGCUGCUAUGAGUGUUCAUCAGUGGCGGUCGUGUCUCGCGACCGCCACUAAUGUGUGGCUGGGCGGGGCCGGACGGUGCCCGCUCGGUUCAUCAGUAACGAUCGUGGCCGCGACCGACACUGAUGUUCUUCAUCAGUAACGGUCGCGCUGGACCCGUUACUGAUGUGGCAUUGCAUUAGACCGUUUUGUAGUAGCGUUAGUUUUGGGCCAACUCUAUCCGUCGGCCAGGCGGGCUGGGGGGAAAAUCGGCCUCCUCCCGGGCCGUACCAUUAGCACAUCUACAAUCGUUCGAUACCGCACACAAUAAAACAACCGCUUCUCUACACUCGUCUUCUUCCCUCAUGGCUCCUCACAGCAUUGCGCUGGCGGUCGAUUUGCAGCACCAACAGCGGGCAGAUGGCCGACGCUUGCAGCCCAGCAGCGCCACAUUGCAAAAACAUUAGCAGCCUGCAGCACCGUCGGCAGGAGAAGGCGUCAGCUUGAAGGUUUGCAGCAGCGGCGCCUGCAGCUUCCAGCACCGCACAUCGUCCUUUGUAGCACCACCGGACACCAUUCACAACAUCGUCUUUGCAGCGCCGCCGCCACUCCUUCCAGCGCCGCCGCCAUCCCUUGCAACACCCACAGCCUGGCACCGCAGCCCGGCUCGCGCCCACCCUAGGCCACAGCCUCCCCUUGCAGCACAUUUGGGCUCUGGCCUGGUAUCGCAGCACCGCCGCCUCGCCUUGCAACACAAGCGUCCGGGCUCGCAGCAGCUUGCAGCAUCGCCGACUCGCCUUGCAUCACCGGCGUCCGAGCCUCGCGGGAGCUUGCCGCAUCGACGUCUGGGGUCUCGCAAAAGCUUGUAGCACCGCGUGUCUCGCCUUGCAGCACCGGCGUACGGGCCACGCGGGUCGCAGCAACUUGCAGCAGCCCCGCCUCCCUUUGCAGCACCGGUGUACGGGCCUCUCGCAGCACCAUUGUUUCCCCUGCAGCAAUGACAGCACCGAAGGCAGGGGGCGCUUCCCUGCUUGCAGCGCGAAGCGGUGCUCUCGCGGCAGCGGUAGCAGGAGGUUCCAGGGAGAAGCCGCCAUGGCUUAGGAAGAAUUCGUGGCAGAGGGAAAAAGGGAGGAGGAGAAAGCGUCGAUGGAAGAUAAGGCAGGGGAAGAUAUUUUGCUGCAGCCGGAGUAUUUGACCGCACAAUGAGAACGUAUCUAACAGCCAGCGAACAGGCCGAUGGUAUGUGUGGAUCGGUCGGACGGAUGAGACCCUUUUCCUUAGUUUUGUGAGGAUUAUGGGGGUUUUGAAAGUUAGAGUGGGGCUGGGCUGGAUUGGGUUAGUUCGCGUGGAAAAGUCCUACCUGAUAUGGGCUAGGCUGUGAUAAUGGGCCAAGCGACAGUUCGACAAAGCCGGCCUCUGAAUUUUGUACCAAAGAAACUAAUUAUGCAGCUCCGGAGGCCGGAGCUUGCCAAAAAAAAAAACAUCAUGUAUUGAAAUGGAGGUUUUAUUUGACAUCAUGUUGAAAUGGAGUUUUUUUGUUUACUCGUUGGAAAGUACUUCUGCACAUAUGACGUGCGAUUUUUUUUCGUCGACGCAAGCAUGAAGUUUGUUUGUCAUCCGAGUUCGUGUUGUUGAUUGGCAAAGGAAGACCAACCUGUGCUAUCAUGUGGUUAUGAACUGCACGAAGGCUAGAGGACUGCGUCGCAAAGACUGGGUUUUGCCGGCAGAUGGGGAUCUCGGCCAGGGAGGAGACGAUUGGGCUCUUAUCAUUCUUGGCUCAGUGGAUGCCCUAACGCGACAGAGGUUGCUUUUUCUUUGGUGGCGGUCUUGGCAUCUCAGAAAUGAUGCCAUCUUCGGAAAUGGGAAAGCGACGAUCGAGGAAUCUGCCCACUUCAUCAGAAGCUACUCGCUUGCGAUGGAAAACAUAAAAAGCCCAGACCCAGUUAUCGCAAGCUGUUUCGAUGAGUCUCUGCAUCCUCUCGGCGGCCAGCUGACUGACAAACAUGGUUCCUGGGACGUUCGGCAAUCUAUUUCGGCACCCACUGCGGUUUGGAAAGCCCCUUCGCUCGACUGGAUGAAACUGAACAGUGAUGUUACCGUCGAUACGCAGUCUGGGGUAGCGUGGUGGGGGGCCUCCCUGCGAUCCAGCUCUGGAGCGUAUAUUGCAUUGGCCUGGGGGAAGAUUGGUCACUGUGGGUCUUUCGCCGAAGCUGAAGCUCUUGCGGCGAGAAAUGGGAUCAUCGCUCUCCGUGAUGAGCAUGAUGUUAAAAUCCAUCUGGAAUCUGAUUGCUCCACUCUGAUCGCCGGCCUUCAUGCAGCAGCAGGGGAUCGCUCCGCCAUCUGCUUCAUCCUUUCUGACAUUAGGGCUCUCCUUGCAAACUUUGAAGCUUCUUGCUAUUCCUGGGUUCGACGCGAGACGAAUAAUGUUGCGCAUGAUUCGGCGGAGUUUGCUAGGACUAGUAAUUUUUCUGGUUCUUUAGCCGGUACUGUACCAUGCUGAGAUAAUGGAACGCUUUUCCUUAGAAAAAAGAGAGUUCGUGUUGUUGUGGUGCCAAGUCUGGUACCGACAAUUAUAUACGAUUCUCUAACAGGGUCUGUUUGGAUCGACUGAUUGUCGAUUGUUAGCUUUUAUAUCAGUGAACACACGAAAGAUACAUUCAAGCAAAGCAAGCUCUUAUAAAAAUCGUCCAAGUUUCUCUUGUGUGUCCUGACCCAUACUUUUGUGAUGUGUCCAUGAACUGUUUUUUUUAAAAAAAAAUAGUACUCCCUUCCUCCAUAAAAAAAUAUUCUCUCUUAUACAAAUCUAUGUCACUUAUUUCAGAACUGAAAGUGUACUGCCCUGCUCACUACGUCGCCCUCAACAAGCCCGGCCUUCCGACGCUUGCUGAUCGUCGACGCCAAAACGGUGAACACGGCCGCCCUCCUCAUUUCCUCCGCCCGAGAGUUGGACUGGCGUCUAGAGCGGACAAUUAAGCGAUCACUGGAUGGACCCACACUGACGUAUGGCCCAUGUCUAGCAGGGGUGUCCUUAACCGUGGUGGACCGACUCGUACCAUCAGUAAAGCAGCCCGCAACCGCAGCGGCCCAUCAUCAAUUGCUCCUCCGGGGAUGUUGCCGUUUUCUCAAACUGAGCAACCGAGCCCCAAUUAACGGACACCCGACUAAGAUCUCGCAUCAGCUCAAAAAAAAAAGAAAAAAGAAAAAAAGAAACUCAGCUCUCACAUGGAUGUAGAACGGAAUGGAAUCUCUUAAUUAUUGGCUGAUUAUUAUGGGGAUCCAAUGAGAACUUUGCGUGCAUGCCCUCGCAUGACCGCCAUUUUGCAAAACAACGUUCAAGCCUGCACUUUGGUUAUAUCCUGAUGUCUAUUUUUUAAAAUAAGUUUGCACUUACUCCACAUGGAAUAGCCAAGAUCCGAUGCACAUCGAUGCAAUUUUGCGCUGACCAAGUCCAACUGACCAAAACACACAACAGGACCAGCACAAUCUUCCAAAAACAAAAGCACGGUAUCAAGUGUCAACAAAAAAAUACCUUCCAAUAAAAAAACGGUUUGCAAACUAUGUUUUAAUCAGAAUACAAAAUAACUUGAUGCAACAGUUACUGUAUGUAACACGAGUUUGUCUUUUUUUCCUUCAUGUAUUUUUUUUCCAUCCAUGUAUUCCUAAACAUUAUAAGUAAUUUUGUUAUUUUGGUUUAUUACUCUUGUUAGUUGGCCCAGGCGCCCAGCUAUACCCCAUUACCCCCUCUUCCCAUCCCAUCUUCUUCUUGCCGAGCGACUCAGCGACCCAGCCCCUCGCUCCGUGCAUCUUUUUCCUCCUCGCGCGAGCGCCGCCACCCAUCCCGCUGCCGAGCGCCCGAGCCCCCUAGCUCGUCUUCCUCCUCGCUCGAGCGCCUCCACCGCAGGUUGAUCUCCACUUCGAUUCUCUCGCUCCCGACCGUUUCUGCUCCCAUCACCCCACGAACGGAUUCCGCCCUUUAGAUCCCCGAUUCAUAAUCUUCCCCAAUUCGUAACUGAGGCAAAAAUCAAGGUAGGGUGGCCGCCCUACCUUGCCCUACUGGGUCCUCCGCCCGUGUCAUGGUGUGAAUCAAUCGCGGUAGUGAGUGGUUUGGAAGUAGGUUCAUGACACGCGCUCGGUGAUGCUUCGGUUGUUUGAGUUUGACUGUACCAAGUCACUGAUCUAGUUCAUUGUGAAUUCUAGCGUGGCAGUAGUACUGCUGCUGGAUGUUUUGUCUAUUUUUGUUGUGAUUUUAGAUUCCUGAGUUGGCACUUGGUGGCGAGUGAGUGUAUUUGUACAUGAUUGCUCGGCAGAAGUGAGUAUCGUUUGUUUACCUAGGGGAAUCUGUAUCAAGCAGGGCUCAGCAAUGUCCACACUGUACUGGAUUGUUUCUCGUCUUUCAUGGGAGUGGUUCUGCAGUUGACUUAGUAGAUUUGAUGCCAGAUAAUUUAGUGGAAAAAUCUUAGUCGCACUAGUUUUUUGGUUGCUUACGAGUUCUAUUGUUAUACUGUUGUUCUGUGGAAUGGACUAUUGUGCAAUUGGCUUUAUGGAAGACACGUCACACAAUUAUCAGGGGCACUAUGCAUUUUUUAUAUACCUGUUAGGAGAGGCUGCAGUUUCCUUGUUUUAGUCUGAUCCCAGCUUCUGUCAAUCAAUGCAGGUAGUGAAUAUGUCAGAUAGUACGUUGCAAGAUCUCAACCUAGCUCAAUCAGCAGAGCUGGAGAAAAGCAAAGACAGUGUUGCGAAACCGUGCAACACUAAGCCUGUGUUGAACGGCAACAAACGUGUCGACAAGGAAGAAAAUGCUCCGCUUGCAUGUCCUGAUGCUGUGACUAAUGGAUGUGAGGCUGCAGUUGUAGAUGUUGAGUAUAUUGAUUCUGAGCAUCUGAUAGAUCUCCCAGAUGUUGACACAAGCUUUAGUGUAUGCAACUAGUUAUUCCAUUUGUGAUUUUUUGUUGGAUACUUAUAAAUUUUCUUCAGAACUAAGAUUUCCAUUACCUAUUGGCUGGCAGACGUUGCUUGCAAGGUUGGAUUCAAAGGACUGGAUCAAGACAUGUGAGGCCCUUAAUAAUGUUCGUCAGUUAGCAAUAUAUCACAAGGAAAGGUUGCAGGAGCUGCUGUAAGUUGUUUCUAUUGUUUCCUGGAAAAACCGUUUGAUAAUGACAUCACUCAUCGAUCCACGUUGCUAUGAAAUUGUACUACAUCUCUUCUGUUAAUUGUUUGAUAUAAACCAUUUGAAUUACAGGGAGCCUCUAGUUCCUCUUAUUGUGAAAUCUGUGAAGAAUCCAAGGAGUGCUCUAUGUAAAACUGCGCUUAUGACCUGUGCUGACAUCUUUAAGGCAUAUGGUGAACUAAUGGUCGACUCAAUUGAUCUACUGGUGUGUUUCCCAUUUUAAAAUAGUCUAUUCACAAUUUCACUUGUUUGGUUUUCACACUAAUUAUGAAGUCACUUAAUUCAUGUUCUCUGUCAAAUGUGUACACAGCUAAUGCCGUUGUUUCUAAAAUCUUCUCAAGACAAGCGCUUUGUUUGUGAAGCUGCUGAGGCAGCCCUUAUAUCAAUGACAAGCUGGAUCUCGCCUUCUAUAUUGCUACCGAAGAUGCAGCCUUACCUCAAGAACAGGAAUCCACGAAUUCGAGCAAAAGCAUCAGUUUGUUUCAGUAAGAGCGUACCACGACUUGUAAGUGAAACUCUCCCUGAAGAUUUACUUAAGAUCCCAGCUUUCUUUGCCCCAAUGAUUAUAUCAGAUUAUCUCCAAAGGAACCCAAAGAGAGGCUUCAGGAUUAAGUAUAUAUUCAUGUUGUGAUUUUGUCUAAUGCCCCAAAAUCUCAACUUGAUACAGUUAUAUAGAUGGAUAAUUUGAUCUCCUUGUGCUAUUCUUAUCUGUCCAUGAUCCUAGUUAGAGUUUAUAUGGAGGUUCUUCCAGAGAUUUUCUGUUUAUUUAGAUAUGCAGUUGCUUGGAUUGAAAAUUCCGUGUGAUAAUAUGGAGCCCCGAGGCCAGACCUUAUCCACACAAAGAUUUAGUGCAUGUGGUGGAACAUUGAUUUGGUGAGGAUAUUAAAAUGGCCAGUGUAUGUUUGUUCAAAGUGCUUCAUAUCCUUUCAGUAAUUUUCAGCAGGGUGACAUUAGCUGCUCAUAAUAAAUUAUUAUUUGGUGCGGAUCUGUAUGCACUGACUCCUCUUGGUUGCUGUUCUAAAUAUGAGAAAUACAACACUUCAGUUGUUUCAUAAUAGUAACUUCUUUUUCUGACAGGGUGUGGAAGGAAUCAAAGAAUAUGGAAUGGAUAAGCUCAUCCAGGUUGCUGCAACCCAGCUCAGUGACCAGCUUCCAGAAUCGAGGGAGGCUGCACGCAAACUGUCAUUGGAGCUACAAGCAUUCUACGAGAAGUCUCAGGCCUCAAGUUCAGGCGAAGAUGAGAGCGUGCCGGCUGCCUCACCAGAAGCUGAAACCUGGGAGGCUUUCUGCCAAUCCAAGCUUUCCGCACUAAGCGCCCAAGCAAUCCUCCGCGUCACCUCUACAACAAAAGAAACCUCAACGACGAAAGACGGUGUAACCGUGAGUGUCCCUUUUGCCCUGAAAGAAGGCGGUGGCCCUGUUACCCCCAAAGAAGGUGAUGUCCUUGUUGCUCCGAAAGAGGGUGCCGCGGCAGUGGGUUGCUAGCAUCGGGAGGUGGCUGCUGUGAUUUUUCGCACAUCCAAUUCACGUAUUUUUGCUGUACAUGGUUUACGGUUGCUCCGUCAUCGAAUUUGCUGGGUUGUCUGCACUGGAGUUUCUUCAGGUUUUAUGCCUCCGGUGUUAAUAUUGGUCCGAGAUAUAGUCCCCUUGUUAUAGUCGAGCUUACAAUCCUUGGGUUCCACUGCUUGUGCUUGGCAAUGGUUGGUUCUCCGGUAAUUCAGUCAGGCGUAUGUAGAAUUUCAUCCACCGUUCCAUAUUUGCUGACAGUGUUAUUACACAGUGCACGUUUGUGUUCUUUUGCUUUUGCUCUGUAUACUUAGGUUCCAUUUGUGUGUCUACCCUACCAGUACGUGGUUUCUGCUGUAGAAUGUACACGAUGGUAACCAAAAUGCCAGGAGCCAGUCCCUGUACGUGAAAAAGAUGCACAUGCAUCGCAAGUGCUGGCCGCAGAGCAAGCUGCGCCGAUGAUAGCGUUUGGUUCAUGAGAACAUUGAAUCGCAGUGCAGAGACGCAUACUACAUUGUGAUUUCGUGAUUUCUUUUGAAAAUCAAAUGUACAUGUUCGUUUCUAGUACGGAACCUACACUUGCACGCAAAUUUCACUGGCAGACAGCGAACGCAGGGCAGGCUCCUCAGAGGGUGGGGCCUGCCCUGGGCGUGACCUCCUCAGCUCUCUCACAAUCUCACAUGGAUGUGGAACGGAAUGGAAUCCCUUAAUUAUUGGCUGAUUAUUAUGGGGAUCCAAUGAGAACUUUGCGUCUAGCAUGACCACCAUUUUGCAAAACAACGUUAAGCCUGCACUUUGGUUGCAUUCUGACGUCAUUUUUUAAAAAAAAGUUUGCACUUACUCCACAUGAAAUACCCAGAUCCCGAGGCACAUCGAUGCAAUUUUGCGUUGACCAAGUCCAACUGACCAAAACACAUAACAGGAGCAGCACAAUCUUCCAAAAACAAAAACACGGUGCCAAAUGUCAACAAAAGAAAAUAUCUUCCAAUAAAAAAAGGUAGCAGCAGAGCGGAGUAUAACCUAUGCCAGGCUCGCCGCACAGCCCAUAUUUCCAUCCAGCCAUCCAAGAUGACAGUAGCAGAAUGCAAGUGAGGACGAGGAACCGGAUCAAUCAGCCUCAACCAAUCCCCCACAAGCAGCGGGAGCGAACUGCCGCCACUGCCUCCCCUUCCUCCUCGUCGGCGCAGGUAAACCCCUCGCGAAUCCCGAUCCCUCCUCCUCACGCGCGCAGCAGCAUUAUUCGCGCCCUCCGGAUCUGCACCCCGCUCCCCCGUGCGAACGGCGUGAUCUACGCUGCCUUCCCCUCUUUGUUUUUUCGGUGCAGUGAUUUCUUAGGGGUUGGGAUAGAUCUCACCGAAUUUGGUUAGCGUAGAUGGAAUGGUGAACACAGGGUUAGUGCCUCUGCGGUUCUACCAGUGGCCGCGGCUGGGGUCAGCGGGCGGAGUCGGAGAUCUAUUUAGUUCGUUCAAAGUGAGUUCGAUGCGAUCUGGAGAUUGUUUCAGCGUGGUAGAUGCGCAUGAUCUCAAGGUCAUGGUGCAUUAGCGAAGGACAAAAAAAAAUUGAGGUGGGCCAAUUUCUAUCCUAACACUAUGUGUUAAUAUAGAUAUCACAUUUAAUAUUUUUAUAGGAUUACAAAAUAAAUUUGGUUUUUCAGACUUUUUAGGAUGUUUUUUUUGUUGGUACAUUUAAUGAUAUAUUGUACAGUGAUAUUUAUGUUAAAUAUUAUUUUUUAUCAUAUUAUAUGUCAAAUCAAUCAUAAUCGAAAGAUCAUAAUACAAAUAUUUAUAACAUAGAAUAUAUGACAAUUAUUAUGAUUUGCAAACAGUUCUUCGGUGGAGUGAGCAAGGAUCGACAACUCAAAUCUAUAUAAGCGUAAAGUUAUUUUUAUAUUUUUCUUGCAAAGAUAUCUUCAUACUUACCGCCUUAAAAAUAUCAAGUAGAUAUUUGGCAUAAUCACAAUACCUUGAGAGAUAUGCCAUCUUAUGAGAAAGAACUACACAAUCUGAAACAUAUUUGUGAGUCUGUGAAAAUCAGAACUCAUAAAACAAUAAUACACCACGUGGACAUGGUUAUCAUAUCUACUGCCAUUAAGUAAGAUGAUUAUCUAUCAACUUUCAUUAAUUAAGAAAUACGAGUAAAGAUACGUCGGUUAAUACAUCAAUGAAUAAUCAUACAUGGACAUCAACAGUAAAUAACCAAAAUAAGUAAGAGUGCAGAAGUUGCGUCUUCCGGAGAACCAAUCUUUGCAGGCUAUAUCGUCGUCGAUUGCGCAAAGUCACGUUGGAACGCCACACACACACCACCUCACACGGGGCGUUGCCGUUGAAAACUGGCUGCCGAUGUAGGCGACAAUUGACCCGUCAUCACUGCCUCCUACGACGUCUUUCUCAGAUCCCGUCCAAAUGCAUAGCUUGGCAAGUCAUCGUCAUCGCUGCCUCUAAUGAUACAGAGUUAAAUUAGUUGAAAUUUUAUAGAUUUAUUUUAUAUAGAGACGCAAAUACAAAUUCUAAAAGACCAAACAAAUUUACAUCUAACAAUGAUUUAAUAAUUUGUAUUAAAAUUAAUCCGAAUAGAAAAUAACUUGAUGCAAGGGUUACGGUAUGUAACACGAGUUUGUCUUUCUUUCCUCCAUAUUUUUUUUUCAUCCAUGUAUUCUUGAACAUUAUGAGUAAGUUUGUCUUUUUUUCCUCCAUGUAUAAACAACCUGUUAUUCAGGUUUAUUACUCCUUGUUAGUUGGCCCAGGCGCCCAGCUAACCACGUUACCCCCUCUCCCCAUCCCAUCUACUUCUUCUUGCCGAGCGACUCGGCGACCCAGCCCCCUCGCUCCGUGCAUCUUCUUCCUCCUCGCGCGAGCGCCGCCACCCAUCCCGCUGCCGAACGCCCGAGUCCCCUAGCUCGUCUUCCUCCUCGCUCGAGCGCCUCCACCGCAGGUUGAUCUCCACUUCGAUUCUCUCGCUCCCGACCGUUUCUGCUCCCAUCACCCCACGAACGGAUUCCGCCCUUUAGAUCCCCGUUUCAUAAUCUUCCCCAAUUCGUAACUGAGGCAAAAAUCAAGGUAGGGCGGCCGCCCUACCUUGCCCUACUGGGUCCUCCGCCCGUGUCAUGGUGUGAAUCAGUCGCGGUAGUGAGUGGCUUUGGAAGUAGGUUCAUGACACGCGCUCGGUGAUGCUUCGGUUGUUUGAGUUUGACUGUACCAAGUCACUGAUCUAGUUCAUUGUGAAUUCUAGCGUGGCAGUAGUACUGCUGCUGGAUGUUUUGGCUAUUUUUGUUGUGAUUUUAGGUUCCUAAGUUGGCACUUGGUGGCGAGUGAGUGUAUUUGUACAUGAUUGCUCGGCAGAAGUGAGUAUCGUUUGUUUACCUAGGGGAAUCUAGAUCAAGCAGGGCUCAGCAAUGUCCACACUGUACUGGAUUGUUUCUCGUCUUUCAUGGGAGUGGUUCUGCAGUUGACUUAGUAGAUUUGAUGCCAGAUAAUUUAGUGGAAAAAUCUUAGUCGCACUAGUUUUUUGGUUGCUUACGAGUUCUAUUGUUAUACUGUUGUUCUGUGGAAUGGACUAUUGCGCAAUUGGCUUUAUGGAAGACACGUCACACAAUUAUCAGGGGCACUAUGCAUUUUUUAUAUACCUGUUAGGAGAGGCUGCAGUUUCCUUGUUUUAGUCUGAUCCCAGCUUCUGUCAAUCAAUGCAGGUAGUGAAUAUGUCAGAUAGUACGUUGCAAGAUCUCAACCUAGCUCAAUCAGCAGAGCUGGAGAAAAGCAAAGACAGUGUUGCGAAACCGUGCAACACUAAGCCUGUGUUGAACGGCAACAAACGUGUCGACAAGGAAGAAAAUGCUCCGCUUGCAUGUCCUGAUGCUGUGACUAAUGGAUGUGAGGCUGCAGUUGUAGAUGUUGAGUAUAUUGAUUCUGAGAACCUGAUAGAUCUCCCAGAUGUUGACACAAGCUUUAGUGUAUGCAACUAGUUAUUCCAUUUGUGAUUUUUUGUUGGAUACUUAUAAAUUUUCUUCAGAACUAAGAUUUCCGUUCCCUAUUGGCUCGCAGACGUUGCUUGCAAGGUUGGAUUCAAAGGACUGGAUCAAGACAUGUGAGGCCCUUAAUAAUGUUCGUCAGUUAGCAAUAUAUCACAAAGAAAGGUUGCAGGAGCUGCUGUAAGUUGUUUCUAUUGUUUCCUGGAAAAACCGUUUGAUAAUGACAUCACUCAUCGAUCCACAUUGCUAUGAAAUUUACUACAUCUCUUCUGUUAAUUGUUUGAUAUAAACCAUUUGAAUUACAGGGAGCCUCUAGUUCCUCUUAUUGUGAAAUCUGUGAAGAAUCCAAGGAGUGCUCUGUGUAAAACUGCACUUAUGACCUGUGCUGACAUCUUUAAGGCAUAUGGUGAACUAAUGGUCGACUCAAUUGAUCUACUGGUGUGUUUCCCAUUUUAAAAUAGUCUAUUCACAAUUUCACUUGUUUGGUUUUCACACUAAUUAUGAAAUCACUUAAUUCAUGUUCUCUGUCAAAUGUGUUCACAGCUAAUGCCGCUGUUUCUAAAAUCUUCUCAAGACAAGCGCUUUGUUUGUGAAGCUGCUGAGGCAGCCCUUAUAUCAAUGACAAGCUGGAUCUCGCCUUCUAUAUUGCUACCGAAGAUGCAGCCUUACCUCAAGAACAGGAAUCCACGAAUUCGAGCAAAAGCAUCAGUUUGUUUCAGUAAGAGCGUAUCACGACUUGUAAGUGAAACUCUCUCCUGAAGAUUUACUUAAGAUCCCAGCUUUCUUAGCCCCAAUGAUUAUAUCAGAUUAUCUCCAAGGGAACCCAAAGAGAGGCUUCAGGAUUAAGUAUAUAUUCAUGUUGUGAUUUUGUCUAAUGCCCCAAAAUCUCAACUGGAUACAGUUAUAUAGAUGGAUAAUUUGAUCUCCUUGUGCUAUUCUUAUCUGUCCAUGAUCCUAGUUAGAGUUUAUAUGGAGGUUCUUCCAGAGAUUUUCUGUUUAUUUAGAUAUGCAGUUGCUUGGAUUGAAAAUUCCGUGUGAUAAUAUGGAGCCCCGAGGCCAGACCUUAUCCACACAAAGAUUUAGUGCAUGUGGUGGAACAUUGAUUUGGUGAGGAUAUUAAAAUGGCUAGUGUACGUUUGUUCAAAGUGCUUCAUACCGUUUCAGUAAUUUUCAGCAGGGUGACAUUAGCUGCUCAUAAUAAAUUAUUAUUUGGUGCGGAUCUGUAUGCACUGACUCCUCUUGGUUGCUAUUCUAAUACGAGAAAUACAGCACUUCAGUUGUUUCAUAAUAGUAACUUCUUUUUCUGACAGGGUGUGGAAGGAAUCAAAGAAUAUGGAAUGGAUAAGCUCAUCCAGGUUGCUGCAACCCAGCUCAGUGACCAGCUUCCAGAAUCGAGGGAGGCUGCACGCAAACUGUCAUUGGAGCUACAAGCAUUCUACGAGAAGUCUCAGGCCUCAAGUUCAGGCGAAGAUGAGAGUUUGCCUGCUGCCUUACCAAAAGCUGAAACCUGGGAGGCUUUCUGCCAAUCCAAGCUUUCCGCGCUAAGCGCCCAGGCAAUCCUCCGCGUCACCUCUACAACGAUAGACACCUCAAUGACGAAAGACGGUGUAACCGUGGGUGUCCCUUUUGCCCUGAAAGAAGGCGGCGGCCCUGUUACCCCAAAAGAAGGCGAUCUCAUUGUUGCUCCGAAAGAGGGUGCCGCGGCAGUGGGUUGCUAGCAUCAGGGAGGUGGCUGUCGUGAUUUUUUCCACAUCCAAUUCACGUAUUUUUGCUGUACAUGGUAUACGGUUGCUCCGUUGUUGCGUCGAAUUUGCUGGGUUGUCUGGGCUGGAGUUUCUUCAGGUGUGAGACCUGCGGUAUUAAUAUUGGUCCGAGAUAUAGUCCCCUUGUUAUAGUCGACCUUACAAUUCUUGUGUUCCACUGCUUGUGCUUGGCAAUGGUUGGUUCUCCGGUAAUUCAGUAAGGCGAAUGUAGAAUUUCAUCCACCGUUCCAUAUUUGCUGGAGUAUUAUUACACAGUUCCCGUUUGUGUUCUGCUUUUGCACUGUAUACUUAGGUUCCAUUUGUCUGUAUACCCUACCCGUACGUGGUUUCUGCUGUAGAAUAUACACGCUAGUAACCAAGAUGCCAGCCCCUGGACGUGAAAAGGACGCACGUGCAUCGCAAGUGCUGGCUGGAUUUGGUUUCUGCUUUGCUGACCUCGAACUUCAAAGGAGUAAUGCAUUGGAUCAUUGAAUCGCAGUGCAGACACGUAUACUUUGACAGACAGUGUCGAUUUCUUUUGAAAACCCAAUGUACACGUUCGUUUCUAUGUACGAGGCUACUGUAGAAAACAGUUGCACACAAAUUUCAGUGGCACACAGCUAAGCAGCGGCGGCUCCUUUGAGAAAUGCCCGGUCCGGCUUCUCUUUUGUUGGGCUCGGUCGGACAUGGGCCAGACUUAACAGCAGGCCGAGAAGAUUUGUGGGCUGCUGGGAAACUCGAUGCAGCACAAGAUCAGAGGUAAUAGGCCCAAAUGAACGGGCCGUCGUCAUCUCUCUCUAGUCGUUUCGCCUCUCGCGGUCGCGGUACCACUGUGCUGUUCCUGUGUCCUUUAGGCCAUUGGAGCUCGCCACCGGACCGGCUUGGCCCGACGCUGCCCGCACGCUUCCCCUCUCCAGCCCCCGUGUCGCUCCUCCGCUGCCCUUCGACGAAUUGUAUCCCGCCUGUUGCAUCGCCCGUGUGCUGCGAGCUGCGGCCAUCAGCCCAACCGAACAGCGCGCAGAUCGCCUCCCCGCCCUGCCCAGCUGGCGAAGUCAACCUAGGGCAACGGCGACGGACCUCUGCAGCGCCGGCGCGUCAGCCGCCGCCAAUAUGGCGGCCUCGUCGUUGAGGUGGACGAUGCAGCAGCAUCUUAUUUGUUCACUUGAAUUGUGUUGGUCUGUAUGUCAAUUUCGCUGAUCUGAUCCGAUUUAAAAGUACUUCCAACUGUUCAUCCCACGAAGGUUUCUAUUGUUCAUUCCCUUCUCCCAAAUGCUAAGCAAAUGAGUGUUUGAUACAUUGGUAUUCCCUGUGUGUGCACCCUAAAAUACAACUGUAAGCAUUUACAUGUAAGAAGUUUACAAAGCUAUUAAGGAAAUUAGCGGAGGACAAAAAAAUUGAGUUAGGGCGAAUUUCUAUCAUAACACUACGUGUUAAUAUAGAUAUCACAUUUAAUAUUUUUGUAGGAUUGCAAAAUAUAUUUUAAUAAAUUUGGUUUUUUCAAACUUUUUAUUGGUACAUCUGGUGAUAUAUCGUCGAGUGAUAUUUAUGUUAAAUAUUAUUUUUCAUCGUAUUAUAUGUCAAAUCAACCAUAAUCAAAAAAUCAUAAUACAAAUAUUUAUAACAUAGAAUAUAUGACAAUUAUUAUGAUUUGCAAACAGUUCUUCGGUGGAGUGAGCAGAGGAUCAACAACUCAAAUCUUUAUAAGCGUAAAGUUAUAGUUAUAUUUUUCUUGCAAAGAUAUCUUCAUACUUACCGUCUUAAAAAUAUCAAGUAAAUAUUUGGCAUAAUCUCAAUACUUUGAGAGAUAUGCUAUCUUAUGAGGAAGAACUACACAAUCUGAAACAUAUUUGUGAGUCUGUGAAAAUUAGAACUCAUAAAAAAAUAAUACACCACGUGGACAUGGUUAUCAUAUCUACUGUCACUAAGUAAGAUGAUUAUCUAUCAACUUUCAUUAAUUAAGAAAUACAAGUAAAGAUACGCCAGUUAAUACAUCAAUGAAUAAUCAUACAUGGACAUCAACAGUAAAUAAUCAAAAUAACUAAUAGUGCAGAAGUUGCGUCUUCUGAAGAACCGGUCUUUGCAGGCUAUAUCGUCGUCGAUUGCGCAAAGUCACGUUGGAACACCACACACACACACACCACCUCACACGGGCGUUGCCGUUGAAAACUGGCCGCCGAUGUAGGCAACAAUUGACCCGUCAUCACUGCCUCCUACGACGACUUUCUCAGAUCCCGUCCAAAUGCAUAGCUUGGCAAGUCAUCGCCAUCGCUGCCUCUAAUGAUCCAGAGUUAAAUUAGUUGAAAUUUUGCAGAUUUAUUUUAUAUAAAGACGCAAAUGCAAAUUCUAAAAGACCAAACAAAUUUACAUCUAACAAUGAUUUAAUAGUUUGUAUUAGAAUUAAUCCGAAUAGAAAAUAAUUUGAUGUAACGGUUACGGUAUGUAACACGAGUUUCUCUUUCUUUCCUCCAUGUAUUCUUUUUUCAUCAUCCAUGUAUUCUUAAACAUUAUGAGUAAUUCUAUUAUUCUUGUUUAUUACUGCUCCCUCUGUCUCAUAUUAAAUGUCCUAAAUGCACCUAAAUAUGGAUGUAUUUAUGCUUAAAAAAUGUCUAGACACAUGUAAUAAUUUUGACACUUAAUACGGGAACGUGGGAGUACUUUUAGUUGACCCGGUCGCCCAGCUAUACCCACAUUGCCCCCUCUCCCCAUCCCAUGUCCUUGCCGAGCGACUCCGCGACCCAGACCCCUCGCUCCGUGCAUCUUCUUCCUCCUCGCGCGAGCGCCGCCACCCAUCCCGCUGCCGAGUGCCCGAGCCCCCUAGCUCGUCUUCCUCCUCGCUCGAGCGCCUCCACCGCAGAUCUCCACUUCGAUUCUCUCGCUCCCGACCGUUUCUACUCCCAUCACCCCACGAACGGAUUCCGCCCUUUAGAUCCCCGUUUCAUAAUCUUCCCCAAUUCGUAACUGAGGCAAAAAUCAAGGUAGGGUGGCCGCCCUACCUUGCCUUACUGGGUCCUCCGCCCGUGCUUAAGGAUGGGAGCAGAUUGUUUAUUUUGGGAGCCAGGAAAAAUAUAAAUCUUAAUCUCAAAUUUGUUUGUUAUUUUCUGUUGGGUGUAACAUAACAUUGUUGUCCUUUUGAAGGUAUCGAUUGGUGUUCGUCGUCUUAAUCAUGGUGUUCAGCAAGGUGGAAGUGAACUUGAGAAGGCUGCUCGAGGCGGCUCCUCGGCAGCAGAAUCAGGCUAAGCUUGUCCAUGUAAGUGUAGCACCUUGCCGUGCCAAAAAUAAGUGUACUGGCACUGAAAGACACUAAUUGCAGUACAUAACCACAGCGAGGGAGCUGUUGGAGCAGCUUGGAACAGAAAUCACACCAGAAGGUGUAUCAAGGUACUUGCUGUCACGGGUUUCUAUGUUCUCUGAUGUUGCAAUAUUGUGUGCCUUUUUGGACUAUUAAUAUGUUGACUGUGGUAUAACAUUUGUUGAGGAUCCAUAAUUUUCCCAUGACCACGAAAGUUGUAGUCCAAUAUAAUUUUUUUAGAGUAAAUAUCACAAAACCCCUAGUUUCUGACGAACUGUAUCGCAAAACUACACCUUUUGGUUUUUUUAUCACUUAACCCGUAUUCUUGGACUAAACCGUAUCGCAAAACCCUAAAUCUCGCUGUCAACGACGCUAACAGGGAAACUCAGGAAGUUCUUCUGUAUAGUUCUUACCUCUCAUAUUUGAAAGUGCAUCCUUCCAAGGUGCGAAUCAUUAAAUCGUGCUAGUUCUUCUGUAUCAGUAUCAUCAUCCAUCAUUGCUAUUUUGCAUCAAUGUGAACUCAGGAAGUGAUAAAGGAUUAAUUGUUGCUAAUAGCGUGAUCUUCCUGAAUGCUUUCCAUGCUGCCGUUACAGGAACGGGCCCAAAAGAAAGAUAGGAACUCAUGGCCCAUACCAGUAUAGUUCUUACCUCUCAUAUUUGAAAUUGAGCAAAGCUAUAUGUACGGUUCUUCUGGUAUGAUAUUUUUACGACCACACUAUGGGUCUGGACUUGUGCUGAGAAAAUACUGUGAAAAAAAAACCCAUCGUAGUUUUAUCGUACCAAGAGAAUCGUACACACAGCACUUCCGUUUGAAAUUUUCUGAAUCUACACUGACCGGCUUCCGGACGUACCAUUCUUCUAUAUAAAAGGAUCCAUGCUUCCCCACUCGAUAAAGCACGGAAAUCUGGAUACUCUUUUAUUUAUUAACAAGCUGUUCAUUAAAACGUAGAUACUGUAUCUGUAUAGACACACUCCUCUUACUUGACAAAAGAAACCUUAUCUGACGGUACUAUAAAUUUUCAUGAGAUUCCAUUGAUGGCCUGCAUUUUGAUGAUGCGAAUGUCUAAUCUAUUUCCUGCCUUUUCUUUAAUAACCUUACAGCUGACUCAAUGGUCGUAGUAUUGUGUGUAGCAAAGCAAGUUACCAUUUCCUGUUUGCGCGCUUUUCCUCAUGAUCAGAACAAUAUGCUCAUUCAUGACUUUCUUCUUGAUACAGUGUUUCAAAAGCUAAGCUAGGUGAGUAUUCAGAAAAGAUUGAAGCACUGGCUGCCACGCUCGCUGCUACAGUGGUAUGUUCUUACUUCUUAGCACGCCAAUUUGUAUUUAUAUUGAUAUGCUGAAUUCCUCCACCUGCAUUCUGUAAGACUCAGUACAACCACUAUGAUUUCCUCAGACUCUUUUCUUUAAACUGAUCUCUCAGAACAGUGCAUGUCACUAUUACUCGUAUAGUCUAGCUUCAAGAUACACUUCCAUAACUAUCUUUUUGAUGCAGCCAGAAAAUGAAAAUCCGGUUGAGGAGAGCAUAGAAGAACAAAGCUCUUAUGAAAGAGAAAAGGUUGGAAGUCCAAUAUCCUUGUCAUCCGGAUUGCGAAGGAGACCAACGUAAGUUAAAUUUUAUCCCUUUUGUUUUGUUCCCAUUUCUUGCAAUUACAGCUAAUGAACUAAUGGAUAUACAAUUAAAUAGUACUCAGGUGGAGGUUGGACCAAGUAGUUAUGAGAGAAAAGAAAGAGAUACUGGAGCACCUAUUAAAUUGGACGCAGAGGCUCAGGCUCACAUUGAGAAGCAUAGGUAUGCCUCCUUUUUUUUUCGAAGUAUCUUUCGGACCUCAGUCUCUGGGUUAUUCUAUCACUAUUUCUACCCACAAGCACAACCAAUUUACUGAUCCAUUCAUUAACUGGUCUUGCUGAUAUUACCGUGAUAAAAAUUUGAGUAAGCAUGGAAAGUUUACUCACUACUCCUUUAACUUAUCUCACUGAUAUCCUUAUGCUCUCGCUAUUCUUAAUGCUAUGUUUAAUCAUUACCCCUUCGGAUACUUUAAGACCUAUAAGCAUGGUAAGUUCAGAGAUGAACAAAUGAAUAUACUGCUAUCCUCUUUACUGUGUCGGAUCUCCUGACUGCAUAGGAAGCUGCAAGAUGAUCUGACUGACGAGAUGGUCGACUUAGCACGCCAGCUGAAGGAAAGCAGCCUUUUAAUGAACCAAUCCGUGCAAGAUACAGAGAAGGUGGGCUUUAAUUUUGCCUUCGCAUUUGUCUCAUCUGUCCCUCUCUGCUGAAUGUUUACCGACUACUGAGAAUGCUCACUCACUGGGUGCUGCUGAUGCAGAUCCUCGAUUCCACUGAGAGAGUCGUGGAGCAUAGCUUGGCGAGCACGGGGCGCGCGACGGCACGGGCCUCUGAGGUCUACUCUCUGGCUUCCAAGACGACCUGCUUCCAGUGGCUGCUCAUCUUCAUGAUGACCUGCAUGUUUGUCAUGGUGGUUCUGCUCAUACGAGUCACCUAAAAUGGCGCCGUAACCACUGAUGGUUACGUAUGCUCAGUUUCUCUAACUCCAGCCGAUAUAUAUUCUGUAAACUGUCCCAACAUGACAUGAACAUAAACAUGAGGCUGUGUUUGUCACCGUUGUCAUGCAAGUUUGUGAAGAAAGAUGUUCCCUGAUAUGACAUAGAGAUUGUUUUGGCCAGUCUCAAGCUUUAGAAAGUUUCGUUUAUUUUACGUUGGAUGAAGUUCGAACCUUACAUUUGCAACUGGUUUAUUCCCACAUGAAUGGACAUAUCAUGUACAAAAAGGAAAGUCAAUUAUUUCAAAGAAAUCAAAGCUGAGGGCCGUUAGCCCCAAUCCUAGCCUUACGAUGCUUGAUCCAACGGUUCACCUGAGGAACUCUAGUUGUAUGGCACCACAUCAAAUACUUUUAGUUUGUUGAGCGUUUCUAAAUUGCACACACAAGCUGCAACUGUGGUCUAGUACUGGUCUGCUUGAUAGAUACUCCAGAGAGUAUCUGUUUUCCAGAUCCGGUGGUCUGCUACGGCCACAACCUUCCUCGUUUAAGAUGCUAGUAUUAAUUACACUCAAACUACAACUGUGUCUGAUAAAUUUAGCAAUGCUCAUCGUGUCAGUAAAUCUACUCUGACAGUUCUAACAACCACCUCUGCAAUUUUGAGGUCCUCUUGUUAUUACUGACCAGUAAAUUAAGCAGGACAAAGUAGAAAGAGAUGGACACAGCUAAUAAUUCUAGCUAAAUUAACAACUGGCAAUCAAUUAACACCGCAAAUGUUGCAAACUGGAACAUGCUAAGGAGUAAGCACGAUGAUGAUGAUCACCAGUGCAUGUAAUGUAAGAAGCAUGGUGCCUAGCUUGUCUUAUUAUUACCACUGACCAGAGUAAGUAAGCAGUACUGAACUACUGAUCGCCACACACACCUGAAGGCGACAGUAGGAAUGAUUGACUAAGACCACAAUUACCACUACUACAAAUCCAAUAAGCAGCACAGUUAACUAAAUAAUUAAUCCACACACACAACUUAAUUCCCCUGAUCGAUUGAUAAAUUAACCAAAUCCAUCGCUUUCGCCAUCUUCAUUAUUUUCUCAAACGGUACCGGCGAUCUCGACGGCCUCCGGUGCUGGCGCCGCCUUGUCGACGAUGUCGGCGGCCUUGGCGUCCUGCUGCUCUGGUGCUGCCAUGACCUCGAUCUUGUGCAUGCCGAGGAUGGGGAUGUUGCUGACGGAGAGGAUGGCGACGGCGUGCGGCGGCAGCUCGAUGACCUGCGCCUGCACGGCGCCGCCGCCGGUGGCGCCGUCGGCCGUGGUGGGCAGCACGGCGGCGUUGCUCGGCCUGCGGUAGUAGAAGUAGAGCCCCAUCUGCACGCAGCUGAAGAAGAAGCCCCCCACGUUCGGGUACUGCAGCAGCACAUUUAUUACAUCAAGUUAAUUAUAAUUAGCCACUGCUAAGUAUAUGAUCAAGCUAAAGAAGAUGAUGAUUAAUUAGAGCUCCUACCAUGACGUAGGGGUCCUUGGUGAAGUAUCCGUAGCAGAACCAGGCGACGGCGCUGAGCACGAGGCAGAAGGACAGGCUGAUCGGCAUGAACUCCACGCUCUUCGUCUUGAUCACCUUGAACUGCAUUACGCAUCAAUCAAUGUAACACCAAGAAGCUUAAUUACUUGAUUAAAACCAUCCUUAUUAACAUCUAAUUAUAUAAAGGAUCAAGCUUAGUCAAUUACUAGUACUUACGAUGAUGGAGAGCGGGGCGACGAAGACGGCCAUGGAGAAGGCGAGGCAGACGGAACCCAGGAACUUGACGCGGUGCUCGGGGGCAACGCCGAGGAGGGCGACGGCGGCGACAAUGGCGAAGGCGGCGACGUCGAGCGCCAGGAAGUAGGCGAGCGCGCGCAGCCUGGCCUUGCGCGGCGCGUAGAGGAGGUAGGCGACGACGUAGGCGAGCUCGACGCCGCAGCCGAAGCCAUUGAUGGUGAGCAGCGGCCUGGAGUUGCCCUUGAGCAGCGCGUAGAGGAUCCACAGCGUCGAGCUGAAGAGCGCCACCACGUAAGGCACCGCGCUGAACCCACCCGUCGUCUUCUUCCUCACCACCUGCACGAACGUCGUCCUGCAAAUUAAAGAGCUUGAGCUCAUCAUCAAUGGCGGCUGAGAUUGAAAUCGAUAAAUCAAAUCAAUGGCUGAAAUUGAUAGAGAUGGAGGAUUAAUUUGUGCUUACACUGGGGCGAGGAAGACGAGGAAGGAGAUGACGUUGCCUGCAGUACAGUGGAUCAGGAAGGGGAAAAUCGACGCCGUUAGUUUUGUUUUGUUUUGUCAGUGUGAUCACUGUGAUGUGAGUGAGAUUUCCUUUACUAAUCAAAAUUCUUUUUUGGUAAUGCGGUUUUGUUUGUUAAUUUUGUGCGUGCAGAGCAGGUGCAGAUGGCAAGGAAGGAAGGGAAGCACGCAUCCGUCGCGGCUCAACCAAUCGCGUGCUAUUUUCAAGAAAAUAUACAGGGUCUGCCCCGGCGGCCGGGCUGUUUGGUAAGAACGGAUUAACUUAGAUGGAGCUAGUAAAUGAAAUGCUAUUGUAGUUCUGUCCUCACUGAUCAAUUAAUGGAGUCUUGGUUUUCUUGCUAGAAUUGGGAGGCGGUAGGUAAUUCCGUCGUUCCUUGGUGUGUGCUUGAGAAUUGCUGCUGAGAGCUAGCCGGCCGGCCGGCCUACACAUACUCUUGCUAGGGCAUAUAUGGCUUGUGAAAAAAGGUAGAGACACUAUAUGUAUGCAAGGUCAGAAAGCUCAACAUGAAAGGUGUGUGUGUGUGUGUGUGCUAAUGACCAAGAAUUCAAGAUUAUUAUAGGCAUGAUCAGGAACUAAUCAAGCUGCAUUGAUUUGAUAUAUAUUUUCUCCAUGAACAAAGCAACUAGUAACAUAAUGUACCUGCGAUGCCGGAGAGGGUGAUCGCCGGGUGAGCCAUGGAGAGGAAGCCGGCAGCCAUUGCAGUAAGGACUCUUGAUCAGCUACUAAUUACUAUAAUGUAGAAAGAGCGAGGAGGAGGAGAUCUCAGCCAAGCUAGACCCUCUUCCCUACUCCCUUUUGUGACACAAGACCAGAGGCACCCGGGCUCUGCAGAAGGAGAGACGAUGGGCUACUGAUGCUUGUGUGCUCUGGCCUCGGCGACGGGUGCCGGCUUAUAUAGUGCCGGGCAUCCCCUUUUUCUGGGUGCUGUACAGUAAGCAAGCCAAGCCAUUAAGCGACCCACUCUUCGUUCCUAGCCGUUAUUAUGGCAGAUAUACAGCUAACACAGACUGCUCUCUAUAGAUCGAUAUGUCUGCACAUUAAUUUGGAACUUGAUUAGGCACGAAUUAGUUAGCAGGGUUUGAUUUUAAGUCUCUCUAUCUCUUUCAUAGUAUGGCAAGGAUUAAUAUGGAACCCGGCUAAAAAAAAGGAUUAAUUUGGGAGUGGUUUAACUGUCUGAACAUUUUACUAGAAAACCACCACGUACUAUUAUGGCAGACCAUUGGAUUUGAACACAUGCAAAUAGAAGUUUCAGGCGACAUGCAUCAAUCGGAUUAUUAGCGGUUUUGACAGGCAGGAGGAUCGAUUAACUUUGGCACAAAAUUCUGUUUUUUCCAGAAAAAUAUGAAUAAAUCAAUAAAAAAUCAUGAAUAUAUAUGGUCUCAUGAGUAAUGAGUGGACCGGACUGUUAAAAAUGUCAGCCCAAACUGACAGUCGUUUACUCAAAAUCCAGUUUUCAAGUUUGACACUUUUGGCUGAAUAAUCAUAAACGGUACGUAUUUUUAGUAGCGGACGGUUUAAACAUCAGCACAAACUGAGCAACCGUUUGGUAAAAAAUUAUUGUUUGAAGAUUUUGAGAAUCGCUAAUCCACAUUUUGUUGAAACGAAAGGAAGGUGUUUGUCGAUUUGUUGCUGCGUCAUUGAUUUUUUUUGUUAGGCCAUAUGUUAAUUAUACUAACAUUCCAGAAGUUAGGAAUUGCUUCUCUGAAGGAUUGGAUUACAGAAGCUAACAAAAGAGAUAACCUAGUCAGCAUUACUUAAUCUCAGGAUCUGGUGCUCCUGGCUCACAAAAUUGCUAGGCUACGCCAAAAAACCAAAACAUUUCUCAGAAAAGAAACGUUGUUAGCUUCUGGUUAAGACGAUGUAGAUUUUCCUGAUAACAUAUUCCUGGCGGCAUUGCCCUCAGGAUAUCAAUGAGGAGAGGUGUUUCCCGACAGUAUCUUGCAGACGGGAAAUUCUCCGCAUACAUCCUGGUGGUGCGAAGACGGAAGACCGACAGAAGACCAUCUUGCAGAAAGUACUAAAACAACUUAAAUAUAUUCCCUUUUGCUUCCUUAGCGAAGGUAUGUCAUUUCCCAAAGAUCUUUUGGUUCACAAAAGGGAGAAGAUACAGUGAAAGUGAAAAGAACCCCUUCACGCACACAAGCCUUCAACAUGAACAGUUGAGCCGAAAAGAGCUGAUGAGAUGUGUGUUGACUACAUCACCAUUGGUGAACUUGAACACAGGUACAACAGCAUCUUCCAUGAGCUCUGAAAAGUGACUUGAUCAAGAACAGUAGUGCAUAUAUUGUCCUCCACUCAGCUAGAUAUGAUCACAGUUCUGAGAAACCGUGUGAAUUAGUACUAUCAGUUAGCUGGAAUUGCUUGCAGUUGAUACGGGAUACCAUUUCUGAAGACCAUUCUGUUACUAAUACUUUAUAAAUGUUGUUAUAUGGACUAUUAUUUCUCCUUCGGAAAGUUAUGGAAUAGUAUUAGUUUGAAGAGCAAUUAUUAUAUGCUAAACUAGAUAAAAUGCCCAUGCAUUGCUAUGAAGUGAAAUUAAAACUAACUUAAAUUUGUGACACAUCUAUCUACCAUAUGGAAUAUUUGGCAACUAGGGUAAUUUCUUGAUGAUUUUGUGGUAAUACUGAUGGAAAUGAACAGAUAACCACCAGCUUAGAUCACUAUAAGCAUAAAAAUAAUCUCAAGGAAGAUUACAAAUAUGAUUAUUAUCUUUUUUUUGCGGGUAACAAAUAUGAUUAUUAUCACCACUUAUGAAUUAUGAUUGCAGGGUCUUUAUUUUGUGGAGAAACAUGCUUGAUGAGUUACAUGAAAAGUUCAUUCCGAGGGUCAGGUUCAUCAAGCCGAAAAUUGAUGUUGGAGAUUCGGUGGUUAAAAAUUCAGAGUUCACUCUUUGCAGUACUGUCACUCAGUCCCUCGUUGCCUUCGUAUUAAUUAUUUGGCUCUGAACCGAGCAUAUAAUUCAUGUCCAUAAACAAGCAUCUUUUCACCAAAAGAAAUAAAAGGUCAAGAAACAAGCUCUGGUGUUCAUAAACAGUCUCUUUUUCUUUCCAAAUCCCAGAGACUUGGAAUUCAGAGUUUGUGCUCCUUCAGGUUCAUAGAAGCUAACUGCAUGCAAAAGCACAUCACGUUAUUGAUACAAUUCCAGAGCUUGGAAUUUUUUGGAUGAAACUUUCCCUGUAUGAUACAAUUUGUUUUCGCAAAGCUAGCUCUUGAGUCAGCAACACUGUCGUCGUGCAACAUUAGACAUGUAAAUGUUGAGAAAAAUGAGGAGGGAUUGAGCAGGUUCUAGGUGGCCACUUUGAAAAGAAAAGCAAUCAAAGUUAGCACAAACAUAUAUCACAUAGUUUCUUGUACACAACAGGAAUGCUAAAUCCUUUAGCGAAUGACAUUUUUAGCAACACUUGUUCAACUAGGCCACUUUCCGUCCACAGAAAUGCAUGGUGCUAGCUAGUCCACUGCUAUUUAUGUUUCAUAGAAGCAGCUAGCUGCCCCAAAGAUAACAGAUUUGCUCUGAAGUGCUGUUCAAGUAGACAUGUAGCUGGCCUCCAAUAUUUACCUGUUCCCAAAACUUGGUGGAGGAAUGUAAUUGACUCCAUGACUAAAUUCAGGCACACCUUUCUUCAUCAAUGAACACGAGGGCUCCUCACUGUUAUCCUUUAAUAUUCUUGAAGCAAAUUAUUUUGGUGGCUUGUAAAGAUCACAAACAAGAGAAGUUCAGCUUGCAUUGUUGUGUCAGAAUUAAUCUGGCUGAUGAGGAUUACUAAUUAACUCGCUGGUCUCAAAUUUCUUGCCCGUAGCAGCAAUCCAACAUCCAAUUACAGGAAAAGAUGGCGGAUACGUGUGAUCGAUGUUUGCUUGUGUUCUCAUGGCUCAUCAGGUUGUUGCAUCAGUCCACCUCAAAUUUAUACUAGAUGUGGCAGUUAGUUCUUAUCAUGCCAAUAUUACCUAGCAGUUGUUUCAGAAGGCAUGCAAAAAUGAAUCCAUGCUAAGAGACAGGCACACAAAGGUGAUAAGCUCUGUUAUUCUAUCCUGUCCAAAAAUUCAAAAAGGACAACCAGAUCAGGAUAUUCUUGACAGCAACCACUUUGACCUUAGUGCAGAUUUUGCCGUAACAAAGCUACUAACUCUUAGGCUAGCGUUUAGGCAGCACUAUGCUCUAUUUGUGUACGAAAGCUACCAAAGGCAGCUUUCUCUCCCAGCAGGUUCUACUCAAGAUGGUUAAUCACAUGUUCUCUUCCUAAAAAGGAUAACUAAUUAACAAUUACUCAAGUGAAGAGUGAGACCAGUAGAAUAUCUCACCCAUGUUUUGUAGGUGGAGAGGUGAUAAUUAAUUUUUUUUUCUCUCUGCUGCUACCCUUUCUGACUUUUGGCUGCAAUUUAACCCCAUCAUGAACUGGGAGACUGGAAUUAAGGUGUGGUUCCUAGUUGCAUAGUGGGCUUCUACAAGGUUUGUUGCCAGUCCCAGUGCACAUUUCUUGUUCAAGAGCGGCACAUCUGAUCCUAUGCAUGAUCACCAUGUCUCCCCUGUCAUUUCUGUUUCCAAUCUCAAGGUCUCAGGAUUCAAAGUAUAGUCCCACAACGCCGAUCAAUUUUCUGGAAAUAAAUGAAGCAACGGUAUUCUGAUAUUUAAGAACGCUCAUGAAUGUCUUGAACUGUUUCUUUUCUUUUCUUCAUACACAUAUACUUCUUGGAAGUACAGUUAAAUGUAGCAUCUUCUGAAUGUGACAAAUUGACACUAUCAUAUAUAUGAAAAUGUAAAUCUGUAGUUCUUAGUUACAGUACUAAUUAAGUAAAAAACAAAAAGUUCUUUAGACAUGGUGGCAUACGAUCGAUCGGUUUGGAAAUAUGACUCUUUUUUUAGAUAAUGGAAGAGUCUUCUCUCUUAUUUUUUUCUGACAGGGAAGAGUCUUCUCUCGCUCGACCUCUGCAUCUGGAUGCAUACAACCAAGAUCAGUAUUGAAUUUGGAUUCUAGUUCACCAGAAAAGUUCCAUCAAAGUAAAUUGCGCACAUUUUAAUCGACUUGUCAAGGAACAUCAAGCACACUGAAUCACUCGAAAGAAAACAAGGAUAUAUUAGUACUACAGUACAGCAACUUUAUAUCCAUCUAACUUGGCUAGGUCACACAGAACAAACCAGGGAACAUAACAGCCGUGUCAGUUACCAACUAAUUAAGCUAAAUCUGAUGAUAGCUAAGGAUCGCUGUCGCUUCUGGACCCCUCAAACAAUCAUAAUGAAAGCCCGAGACUAAGUCCCAUAUAUAUAUAUUCUCCAUGUUGCUAAUUGCAGGCACACUAUCUGAAAAUCGUGUAGGAUUUUUAUUACAUUUAGACCUGAUCAAAUCAAAAGGAUCACACAAGCAAAAACGACCACUGUCUGAAAUCAAAACCAAUGUUGUACGUGUCGGUAACUCGGUAUAUCAGCAUGAGCUAGAAAAGAUGACAUGUCUAGGCCUCUGCAUCUGCACACAACCAUUUCUAAUUCUAUUUGUAAGAGUCGAUCUUAUUUGUAAGAAAUGCAGAUCUUUCUGACCUAGCUAGGUAGGCACGCAAGCAGCUCGAGCUAGCUAGUGCUGGUAAUGGUGUGCCCAUUUUCCCAAUCUUGUUUCACGCACGAUCAAGAUCAUGGGGAUAGGGGCAACUUGGGUGGUCAGCCCCCAGGAUUUACUAGUGGUGGUUGCAGUAGAGGGUUAUUGCCUUUUCCCCUUUCUAUCUCACCUCAUCUCUUGAUCCUCUCUUCCAUUCCAUCUCGGCCAUUCGUACAUCGCAAACGCCAUUAUAUUUCACCUAGCUAGCUCCCUGCCCUUCCGAUUCGAAGAGCAGACUGACCAUAUCUUGCAGAAAAAAUGGGUAUGAUUAUUCAUCGUGGCAUAUCUCAGUGAUGUGGUUUGGGGGCCAAGUUGGCCAACUCAAAGUUAUAACUAAGCAGAUAGCCCCAGAAGAAAACCGACAUGAGUACAACUAAGCAGAUCGAAUGGAAUGUCUUUUUCUCCUUUCGCGAUUUUGACCAUAUGGAAUCUUCUUGCCAUGCAUUUUUUGGUGUUUAUUUUCAGUAUCACCAGAAUUUUCUGAUCCAGGUGCAUAUAUGCAAACGUGCAGCUGAUGAUCUGGCCGUUGGUUCUUCCACAAUGGCAAGUUGAUGGGAAGGAUCCAGAUUAUUCUGAUGAAUAUCUCAUCCUAUGUGCUUUUAGCCUAUGUGGCCACACACACUGGUGCAUUAUUAAAGUGCGUGAGUGUGAGGCAAUGUCGUCGCGUGUACGAGGUUUUGCAGUUGCUUUUUCUCCAGUCAACAUAAAAAAUGAAACAAAGUAAAAUUCAUUCUAGUUGCCGAAGCACCCAUAGCUAGCUUGGCCUACCAAUCAUGGAGCGCCCAAUCAUACUGGAACAACAGUAUUGCAGGUCUAUUACCUAUAUGGAGUAUAUAGUACAUACAUGGGAGUAGAUAGACAAAUAUACCUCUUUCAUUUUUAUUGAUUGAUAAAUGAUUAGGAUGAUCAUCUUUUUGUGGCAAAAUCUCUCAACGGUAUGAUUCGAAAGAAAUUUAUGUGCUAAAUUGGCCUUUUUUCGUACCGUAAAAUUGACCUUUGUUAUAAGAGAAAUGCACACUAACAUAUACAACAUUUUUAAUAUAUAUGUUUUUUCAAAAAGGAGGGAACACCAUCGGUCUCUGCAUCGAUGGAUGCACGCAACCCUUUUUAAUAUAUUUUCUGAAAUUGGUAAUUUUGUCUUGGAAAAUAUUUAGGAGCACACAUUAUGGUGUGUGCGCUUUAUGAUGAUGGUCGAUUUGGCAUCAGCCAUAGUGGCAUUGUUUUUUACAAGGUUCUUUUUUCUAUAAAAAAAAUCCAAGUUAUGUAUCCAGGAUCUAUGUGUUCGAGAAGUCCAUGGUUGUUUUAGCUUGUAUACGUAGUACUUCAUAGGUUACAUCGGCACUCAAGUAAUUGAUGAUUGUUAGGGUGUGUCAUUGUCAGUUAGCUGUGUGAGCCAACGACUAAGCACUCAGUACAUAUUUACAUCUAUCCAAUUCACCUUAAAUACAGCGUGUCUCAUAGCCAAUCUUGAAGUAGAAAUAUCUUUCAGGAAAACAAAUUAAGUAUGCAUCUUUUAAUCUUACCAGCCCUAGCUCCUAUAAACAGAAACCAAAUGUGCAGCUUCCCCAUGCAUGAAUGAAUCUGGUUUCUAGUUUAAAAAAUUAAGUUCUGUAGGGAAAGAAAAUGGCUUCACAAUAAGGCCACUUCUAUUUCACAUGACUAAUUUCAAAAAAUGUUGGAGGAAUUAAUAAAAAUUCUCACUCAUAAAAAAUUACUCUCUCCGUUCCUAAAUACUUGUCGUUGUUUUAGUGCGAACUUGUACUAAAACAGCGACAAAGUAUUUAGGAACGGAGGGAGUACUAUAUUCCAUCUGCCACCCCUUAUUUUCUUGCUGGUUUCAGGUUAGUGAACUUGGUGCCGUGUACUUGGACACGAUGCCUCAGCAGCAAGCAAGAUGCAAAUAAAUAUAGCCAAGAUGAGGCACAUUGACAAUUCUAACGCCUAUUUGUCAGCAAGUAACCAGCCAGUCCCGUCCACAUCGUCGCUGCAAAAGGGAAUGCCCAAAAUAAGGAAGAAGUUCCAUAAAAACUGCAGGCAUAUCUACAAUGGCAUCGAGUGGCACUUUUUCUCGACGUUUAUUUCUUUUAAAUAAACUCCUCACCGUUGAUUUCUAUAUUCUCUCCGUUUCCCAAUAUGAUGCGUAUUUUAUUUUCCAUGACCACCAUGGUCGUCCCUGUGCAUAUAUAAUUUCUUUUGAAAAAUGCCAAUUAAGUUCGAUCUAUCUUGCCAGAAACUGGCAUGCAUGCAUGCAUGCAUCUCCGUUGAAAAGCCCACGGCUGGUUGCAUGCAUGCAUCUGGUUUCUGGCCAGUUUGAUGAUCGACUUAGCUGGAAAUCUAUAUGCAUGCCUAGCUCAGCAAACAAGAUCUCCUUUUCAGAAGAAGAAAAUAAAAGAGAUCAGCAAGAUGCAAAUGUAAAAAGGACAAAUUAAUUAAGCUUAUGUCAGCAUGCAUUCACUCCCGUCCGGCCAGAUCGUAGCCGCAAAAGGCAAAAGGAACCUUUCCAAGCAUGCAAGAACGCAGCCAUUGGCGCUCCGCUCAGAGCUCGAUCCAAAAACUUCCAAGCAUAUGCAAAAGCUCAGCCAUUGGCUAUAUUUGGUUCUGCUCGAGAUCCAAAAACCCUUGUUGACGCGACCCCCGAUGCCCGGCCGGCCGUCCAGUGUGGCGCACAUUGGCGGGUGUGAAAAUUUGCAUGUACACCAAAACUACAAACUAUACCGUCAUGUCACCGACACAUAUAUGGCCCUACCAAAAUUCAAAAGGGUGAUCUAGCUAGCCGUCACUGACAUACAGGCCCCACCGCUACACAAUGUGCAGUUUGCAUUUAGGCUGAAACCUCGUUAACAUUGUCGAAGUGUAUCAAGACCUUGGUUGCGAUACCAUUUCAAGCUUCAUGAUAUAGCCAACGAGACUAAAAAAACCGAUCUGAUGAAAAGAGCUGGACAAUUCACUUAUAUACACUUCAACAAAACAUUAGACACUUGUCCCGCACAGUUGUGGCGCGUGUAGGCAACAUGUACAGCUGUCUUGAGUACAAGUGGCAAAGUGGAAGAGAUGGAAACCAAUACAGCUGGAGGAAAGAAAAGAUGUAUGCCAAAACAAUGUGUGCAUGCAGUGCAGGGGUAUAGAGGGCGGUAUAGCUAGGAAGGAAGGGUUUUGGGGACGGAAUGUUGUGAGGCUGCUAGCUUUAGUGGUUGGGAGCUGAGGUAGCAACUGGCAGGAGGCAACUCAUAUCGAUCUGCAGCAGCAAGUUGCUUGCAAAUUUGGGAACAGAAUACACUACCUCGCAUGCAGCUAGCUAGCUGUUGCUCACUCACUCACAGACUCACUCCAAGUUUCACCUUUGCGCCGGCCGGCCGGCCGUUGGCGUGCUAAUUCGUUCCAUGCAUCUACACAUCACUCUGACUCGAUCGGCUGGCCCUGCAUCUGCAUGCGUAUGCUCCAUUAGCUAGCUUUGGAGAUAUCUCUACGCCCACUAUCUGCCGCAAUUUGCAUGUAGCUUAAGACCUGUCACAGCUUACGAGGUAGCUAGCUAGCUAGGGAUAUUAACAAGUGCUUGCUCGAGCUGGAGGUCACCAUAUUAUGAGCAGCUAGCACUAAGCAAGCAAGCAAGAAAGUAUGAUGUGUCAGUUGGCUGAAGUUGUACACUGUUUACGUCACUGAGGCUGAGAGACUUGGACUGACAGAGAAGAGCAUGUGUGUGAAGGAAAAGAAAGAAUACAGAGUAUAUUCAUAUAAACAUGGGCAGCAUGUGCAAGUAUACGUACGUACGGAUGUGUAUAUAGCUAAGCUCGAUCGCCAUUUGCCGGCCAGUUGCUGAUGCGAUUGGAUCCACCAACCGGAUAAGUCGGCCAGAUGCACAACGUGAAAGAAAGAAAAGAAAAGAACCAACGAUCGGGUGCAAUUAUUAUCAUGAUUCAUCAGUUGUUACUUGUUGGGACAGGAAUUCGUCAGUGUUUGGCGUACCACUGCACAUAUAGCACCGUACGUCGCCUACAAAAAGAUGUUUGUUUUUGUUUGUAGAAAAAACAAAUGUGCGUUGGGAACUGAACUAAAUUACGGAGUAGUAUAUAUAUCCAGGUAUCUAGCUGGAUGGAUAUUGGUCGGCUCGAAAUUAACCCGAAACAAACGCAUACGUGUGUUGCGUUCAGGUGUUUUUGGGUUGCAGUGUACGUACGUACAAGUACAACAACGUUUACAGCCAGUCAGACAGUUUCUGACGGCACGUCUGUCUGCAGCUGCUGCCGCUGCCUGCGCUUCAGAGCCAGACAACGAUGAGAUUUAUAACACACGCGCAAGACCCUUGGGAAAUCGAAAAUUCCUUUGAAGUACUGUAGACUAUGCACUGCAUGCAGUGACUUGCUCUCCCGUCUCCUGUAUCAAUUUAUCUACUUUUCCACGCACGCAAACUGAAGCACCAACAAAGAAACAAACACAAUCUGUCCAGUAAUAUACACAUAUAUAUACAGCAUUACACAUACAUCAUCCCAAGCAGACCAUCCGGGGCCGGAGCUUGAGCUACUUUCUUAACACACCAACCAUCACCAAAUAAACACAACAACAGAAGCACGACCGAUCUGAUGCACUGCACUACCCGGCACGGAAAACAGGAAGCGUCUUUUUACAAAUUACGCACACUUGUCCGAGAGCUUUUACCCUUGCCAAACACACCACACGUUACUCUCUGUUCAGGACCUGAGCCACAGCAGCACGCUGCAUGCAAGAGUUGGAGUGAUCUGUACUUUUAGUUUCGAUUUUCGCUAAUGUGUGCCCAUCGUUGGGAGAUGGCUGCCUUUGUUAGCUUCCUCAGCAGGCGCUGUUUGCGGAGAGUCGCUGUCCAAUGACUCCGAGGUCCCAGUUCUGCGGUCCCAGCUUGACCGCCUCGAAUGCGUGCCAGCUUGGCCUUCCACGAGCUCAGGUUGAAGAUCGUCAUCUCCGCUUACAUCUGGGGAUGCAUGGGUUAACCUGCCCUCUUUCUCAUCCAUGGAGCCACCGAGACCAACUUCCAGGUCUCCAAUAUGAGCUGCCGUCCUCGGCUCAUCCCAAGAUCCUGGCUUCCUGCCCAUUUCAAGAUCUCCAACGGGCUUGCCCAUGUUCGGGCUCAUGAAACCCCUGGAUGACGACCGUGCUUCUUGUACCCCUUGUUCUACCGUGACCCUUGCACGGAAAUUGUUCUUUGAGGGAGGAAUACGGCUGGAGAAUAUCUCUAGAAUGUUGCUCAGAACACCUCUGUUAUACGGGUUUGUGCGACGAUCGUAGCGGUACCUGAAAUUUUCGUAUGUUGUCUGCAAAAGAAAAUGGGUACAUAAUUAGCUACUGAGUUGCAAGUGCUGCGAUUAGGAGAUGCCAAGGUGGCGAUUGAAAUGAACUAAUGGCUACCUGGUUAGUGCUCAUGAGAUAGAAAUGGAAGACUGACAGACCACCGACAAACCAUACACAAAGAAAACAGUAAAUAAUCAGAACAAUUGAAGCUGGUGUCUUCAACAUUGCCUUCCAAAUUGACAACUGCUCGGCUUCUCUAAUCUUGAUUAUGUACACCCAACAGAAGGCAAAUACAUAGAGGCAGAUUAAUGUGGUGGAGAAUACAAACAUGUAGAAGAACCGAUAAUUGCGCUGCACCAAAUAUAUGCUUAUGAUUAGGACAAGCUGAUAUUAAAGAUAAGUCAAUGGAACUCCUAUAAUGAAAAAUGUCUGCACAAAGUGCAACUGCAAGGUGCUUAGAAAAAGAAUAAAGAACGGCUAGAAAACACCAACCGUACCUGUCCUAUGCAUUGGCCAACCCAUGGGCAGUGAUGAUCAAACCGUUCCACACAGUUAUUGCAAAUAGAACAGUGUGAACAUCGGGGAGGCCGGUACAGCAAGCAGGUGUCGCAGUAUUUAACCUUCACACUGAUUCCAUUUACAAUGACAUCCUUUGUCCGAGGCAAACGGAAUUGCUGGGGUGUCUGCCCUCUACUAUAAUUGCUCCCAUCAACGCUUUCAGGUUCAGGAGGAUAAGUAUUUCGAGGUAUUAUACCAGGGUCUCUACCAGAUGUAAGAAGAAGUAGGAUCAAAUCCUAGGAAAGGAAAAAGAAGAGCAGUUAUGCUUAAAUUUCCCCAAAAAAUGCAUCCCCUAUGAAAUGCAUGCAAUUUUACAGGGAGAAGUAAUGGCCAAGAAUUUUGCUUCUGGUCAUAAGAGGUAAGAAAUAAAGUAGUUAUUGUAGUAGUAUGCUUACAUAAAUGGUGAAGACAACUACCACUACCAUCACUGAGAUACCCCAAUGAUUAGGAAAGUCAUUCAUGAGGUGUCUGGCAACAAACACACAGAACACGAGCACAGGUGCAACAAUGAGGGACAUAGUGAGAAAUAAGGAUCUAGCAUCAGGCCCAAAUAUAAACCUCCCUUGCAAGAAGAAUUUCUGCAAAAUGCAAACACAUAUAGAUAUCAUAAAAAAAUCAGUAAUAAAGUUAGGAGAAAUCAUAACAAACAUGAAAUGCCUAUAAUAUAAACAUUCAGACAAGUCAAAUAGCAACAUAAGCUCUCCUGUGAAGCCCUGCAAGCUGCAGGCAGUUAGUAGUUUGGAGGAGAUGAAGCUUAUAUGUGCUUUAAGUUGAACCAUACCAAAACAGGACCUGGUGAUUGGCAUCUCAAGAGGCCACUUAGCUAUCAUAAAUGCAUAAGCUAAAGAAGUGUGUAUCUUUCACAGAUGAUCAUUCCAGAUCGUACUCAUAUCAACUGGACAGACAUAACAUUACCAUGCUAAGUGUACAGAAGAGAGAACAGAAUGGAACCUAUCUCGGGCUCCGGAGCCCUAUGCCAAAGCUCAUGAAAAUAUGAACACGGAGACAAUCCAUACUAUCUAAGAGCUAGCUAGAAUAAUUGUCGGUCAACUCAAUCACGAAUUAUGCCAAGGCAAACAAAAGUAUCACAAUACAGAAACAAAAAUGCUAGGUACUGACAGAGUUGAAACUCAGGAAACGAUAAACUACCCAAGCUGUCCGAAGUUAUCAAUGUAGUAUAAUACUCCCUCCGUUCCUAAAUACUUGUCGUGGUUUUAGUGCAAAUUUGUACUAAAACCACAACAAGUAUUUAGGAACGGAGGGAGUAUUUAGUAACCGCAAAAGAACUUGUCGUUGUAGGUGUAUUUGUGACAUCUUUACAGUUUACACGUAUAACUCCUUACUCCACCAAGUUGCAUUUCGACACACGUGUACUAAAUGAAAUCAUUUCCAGCUAAAGCAUAGGUAUCCUGAUCCUCAGUUCCUCACAUAUAUAUCAUAAAUGAGACUACGGGUUCAUCUUAGAGACAUAGACCAAUCAUCAAAAUGGUGGACCAAAAAACUCCAAGUGAACUCUAUUGAUUGCCCUGCCCCUGCUCGAAACAAGACAUAUGUAUCACUCGAAUCUAUCCAAAUGAGCCACAGGCAUAUUCAAGUACAGCUUACACAAUAGCUGUCCAAUAAUGAUGAUUUAUUAACGGCCCAAUUCACCUAGUCGACUGAUCCCCCGACCAAUUCCAGUGCAGGUAAACAUUAGCCACGCUUGGAACAAAAGUAAAUUCAGUUUCGCCGAUACACCUAACCGAGUAGCAUAUAGCUUAUUCCACAUGGGGGGUAUCCAGAACCAAAAUCCCCCGUACGGCGAGAGACAGGAUGCACAGACAGGGGAGCAGAAAGAGAGAGCUUACGUUGUUUCCGCGCCAAACCUGGUAAACCCUAGGCUGCUCGGCGUCGCGGCCGCCGCCAUCGGAGCGAGAGGGCCGUGGCACGUACAUCCCCGCGCCGCAGAGGCAGCAAAGCAAACCCUAGGGGAACCUCCCCCGCCUCGUCCUCUACGGUGGAUGGCUCGCUCACCCCACGCACGCACGCGCCCAGCCCGCCUCCUCCUCCUCUCCCCGCGGAGAAGACGUCCCAGGCCGCGCCGCCGAGGUUCCCUUCCCCCGGCGAAGGAAAAGGGGCCGCUGCAGCUGCGGCGGCGUGGACGAGGCGCGGAAGGUGGGAGGGGGCAAAGAAGGUCUUCGGGCUCGCGCUCGGUCAGGGCGGACGACGGGGACGGGGAAGUGGUCGCGUGUCCGCGUCUGACUGGCCGCCAGCGUUGAUGUCCAGUCAAGACGUAUCACCUGGGCCGGCUUCUGCACCCUGGCCCAUGAAUUCCACUCGUAUUGGGCCUAUCAAUUUGCACAUUUUCUAUAUCGAAGGGAAAAGAAUGCUUAUCAUUAGGGUUCUAUCUACUCUCAAAAAAAAAAAUUAGGGUUCUAUCUACUAAUCUUGGUCAAGCAAUCAUAAUCUUGGUCAAGCAAUCAUGCUCAUGCACUAACCAACGCAACUAAAAGACCAAUUUGAUGAAAAUGGCAGACAAUUACGCUUCAAACACUCUUGGCGAAGAAAACUCUUGAGAUGUUGGCGAUAAGUUUCAAAAGUAAAAGCUCGCAUAGAAGAUGCAAAAUAUAUAUUACAGAAAAAGAACAUGACACCACAAUGGAUCUACCGUCUGACAACUCACCGCACAAUUUAUUCUUGCUCAGAGCACACUCAAAUGUGGACAACUGACCUCAUUUUGGCAAAUACAGCACAUAAAAAGUUCAAGCAAGACGCAUAAUAUUCUAGGUCGAUACAACUGAGAAUAGAUGAAAACAUCCCAUAACAAUAGCUUAAUUUAUACCACGGAAUAUCGUAUCUCCUACAGGAUUAAUACUGGCAGUGCCUCGCAGGCCAAUCAGUUUCACUUGUGGACUCAUCAUCGCCUUCACGUUGAUAGUUCGGGUUGGCCUCUUCCUUGACCUUACUGUUGAUUAUAGCGGUCAGGUGCAUUGCCGUAGAAACGGCCGCCAUGACUUUCGUGAGGGGGCGUGUUGCCACCUUGGUAUCCAGGGUUGCUGCCAGGGUGUGCAGGGCCAGGGCCACCUUGGUAUCCAGGAGGCCCGCCUUGGUUACCAGAACCCUGGUACCCAGGAGGUCCGCCUUGGUUACCCUGAUACCCAGGAGGUCCGCCUUGGUUACCCUGAUACCCAGAAGGUCCACCCUGGUAGCCAGGAGCACCGCUUUGCUGAUAGUUUUGUGCACCACCAGGUGCAUAGCCCGGCUGACUUCCCUGUGUGUACCCUGCCUGCGGGUUUGGCAUGUGGGGUGAACCGCCUGGUGUGUAAGCUGCCUGUGGGUUCUGCAUGUGAGAUUGAUAAUGCGGUGGACCCCCAGCCGUAUGCAGUGGAGGCGGUGGUGGAGGCAUGCCUCUGUUCUGGCCCGGUGGUGGUGGAGGGCUGUUGAAGCCCUGGCCAGGUGGUGGUGGAGGGCUGUUGAAGCCCUGGCCAGGUGGUGGUGGAGGGCUGUUGAAGCCCUGGCCAGGAGGUGGUGGAGGGCUGUUGAAGCUCCCAGGAGGUGGGGGGGGGCCUGGGGGACUGUUAAAGCCCCCAGGAGGUGCAUCUCUGUUCUGGAAGUUCUGCUGAUUCUCUCUUCUCCUCUCAAAGUUCCUUGACCUGUCAAAGUUGCGGGGCCGAUCAGUGCGCCGAGACCUUUCAUUGGCACGGGCAUUGUUCCUGACCCACUCCUCGUGGUAUUUAGGGUCAUAAGGAACAGCUUCCCCAUUUAUAAAGGGCUCCCCUGAAACAGAAGGCAGCAAGUGCUUAGAAGAUUUCUUCACCAAUUCCAGUCACAUAAAUGCAUAUGCUUUCUACAAUGAUAAAUAUGCCCAAACUCGACAUGAUUAAUUUAGUUCCAACACAGGUGCACAUAAAAGAACGGAGAUUAAUCCCCCAAACAUCAUCUGGUGUUGCUUAAAACUUGCAUGCUAGUUAGUUAAUUAAACAGUGAUGAGUUACAGCAUACAGAUAAUGCAAAGAAACUGCCAUCUUACAUGCUAUGUCAAUCCAUAUCAAGUUCGGAAGGGCAUCUUGCUAAAAAAAAUGGUGGAUUCACGCACAGAACACACAUAUGGCAGUGUGAAAAUAAUAAUUUGAGUAGAUUAGACAAAUCCCAAAGGUUCGGACUCUGGCUGACACUUCUUACAUUCAACAUGGAGUCUUAAUCAUUUGUAUUUGACCAAUAUAUGUUAAGGCAGGCUGCUUGCAUAACAUUGUGUUGCACAAAAAGAACAUACAGAUCUGAAUUUCUCAGUCUACAAAUACUAUGAUAAUAAUAUUGAGAUCAGAAGGGAAGGGAACAAGCAACACAUAUUGCCAUCGAGGAAAGCAAGAAAAAGGGCAAUCGAUCAGAAAGGUCAGAAAAGGCAAGAAAAAUGUGAUGGCCCAUAACUAAUUAGAAGGUCAGCACAAUCAUCAGUGAUAGGAAAAGAGUGAAUAAUAUUAUUAAUAUAGAGACAUGUGUCAUAAUUACCUCCAUAGUCCUUGUUUCUUACAUCCAAGUAUGAGUCUGGGAGGACCCAGCGGACCUUGGGCAACUCUGCAAAUGAUUAAGAGGCAUAAGGUCCAAGCAAGAAUAUAUUAAACUUAGUGUAUAAAGUACUAAUACCUUUGAGUUUGUAAGAGAGUUCCUCAGAUACAAGGGCACCAAAAGCAAAGUAGUGACGAGUUGACACCGAGUAUAUCUUCUGCUUAGCCUCUUCCUCACUGGAACAUUAAAAAUUGAUUACAUCUGACAAGGUACAUAAAUCUGAACAAAGAAAAUGGAGGCAAACAUUGCAUGCUUAUCAGCCAAAAAAAAUUCCUGCUAAGAUCAUAACUACCUCGCAUAAAACUCAACCUGAAUUUCAGAUGAAGGUAAUGGGAAACCAUAUAUUCAUAAUAUAACAAAGAUCAAACAAAAUAACAAAGCACAAGUGUUGCACCCAAAUAAAUAUGAAAAGCAGACAGUCUAAAAUCAGAGAAAACAAUUAACACAAUGAGAGAUCAGUUCCAACUUCCAAAUUACACUAGAAAAAUAAGUGCAAUAACACGCUAUGUUCCUAGCUUUACUUAUGCCAGUGGUAAAAACAUCAACCAAGCAGAGCACCGCCUUUUCACAUAAGCACACAAACUCACACCAGACAGAAAACAUAACAGCGUAAUCACAUUUGAUACAAGAUUAAAACCCAAAAUUCUAACAGAAAGAAAUGGACCCGAUAAAUUAAGCCCUUAUAGUCAGAUUACUGAUACCAAGAAUUCAUUCAGAUCUAAACAAUAACCCGUUAAACUACCAAUUUCUACAAAUCUAAAUACUAGUGGGUGAAUCGAGGCACCGACCGAAAUGGCCCAGCAUAAAUAUAUCCAGCGAGAGCGUGGUAUACCUUCCGACGAUCUGGGCGAGGGUCUUGAUGUAGCUAUCGAUGAUCUCGUCGCGCGUGAUUUCGGGGUUGGAGGCGUCGCCGGGGGGCGGCUCCAUGACGACGAGCCAGUGCUCGAAGUCGCACCCGUCGAGGAGGAUCGUCUCCUUGGGUGGGCGG
rnacentral:lncRNA from 1 species